UUGUUUUGAUCUCUAAAAUCUGGACCAUAUAUGAUAUAUCUGUUCGUAAUAAUUUACAAAUAUCAGUGGGCCGAGUGAUAAUUUUAGCCCACAGAGGUCUAACUAACUUUGUAAAAAUAUAAUAUUAUUCUCGGCCCAAAUGGAAAGUCCAACUAAGGGCCCACUUUUCAUUCACGUCCAUCUAAGACUUCGUUUGGGAUUGCGGAAAGAUUGCAUUACGUGCGGUGAGAAAGUACAAUAGAAAAAUACAUUAUUUAUUUCGUACAUAAUAUUGCGUUCUGAUUAAUCGGUUACGAUAUAUUUUCUGUGAUCCUACUGAAGAAUGCAGAAGCAUAUCCCUAUAUACUUUUAUCCCAACUCUAUUUUAUCUAAUAGCGUUAGAUAGAUUUCAAUACCAAACUAAGCCUAAUGUUAGUAUGCAAAACAGAGUUGGGGCGAAGUGUCUGGAGAUAUUAAAGUUUCAUUUAAGAUUGUAGAAAAAUUACUUAACAUGUGUGGGAAAGUGCAAUAAAAUAAAAUGUUGUUGGUUUCCGUACAUAUAUUGCGUCUCCCAGUAUAGAUAUGAAAACAAACAAGCCGGGGUAUUUACCAAUUUUGUGAUGUAUAAAUAAAACUUUUUAUUUAUUUUAUUUUUAAUCUAAAAUUAAUUUACAUAUUUACGGAAAAGCCCCUGCCUCGCGGCGAAAGCCGCAGCAUCUCGAUUUUGCCAGAGCUCCAAGAACAAACUCUCUCUCUCUCUCUCUCUCUCUCUCUCUCUCUCACUGUGAUCCUCAUUCCCUUUUCCUCGCUCCAUCAUCUUCCUCUUCGUCUUCGCACCACCAUCAUAUACGCACGAGAGAGAGAGAGAGAGAGAGAGAGAGAGAGGGAGCGGCGGAGGAGGAGCGGAUCGCGGUGGAUGUGAUGGUGCUUGCGGCGGCGGCGGCGGCGGCGAGGUAGAGGAGGAGGAGGAGGAGGAGGAAACGCGCGCGCCGAGGAGACGAGGGAGAGGGGGAGGGGGAGGAGGAGGGCGCCAUGAUUCAGAGGGCGGUAGUCGCGGUCGCGGUCGUCGGAAUCGUCCUCAUCGCGUUCUCCAUCUCCCGCAAGGAGGUUCGAUUUCGAUUUCUCGACCUAAUCUCAUGUUCGAUUUAGUUGGAUUUCUUUGUUCUUGAUCGGUGCGUGGUCGAGCUUGUUCUAGGAGAUGGGGUUAUGGUUGUGGUAGAGUUUUAUUAGGAAAUGUGGGAUUUGUUUUGGAAAAAUGUUGAUGAAAUGUGUUAGAAACAUGAGUGGCCUCCCUCUCACGGUGUCGAAGUUCGAGUCUUGUUUUCUUAUUAGGGUUUUUGCUUAGGUGUGGUUAGAGCACUCUGCGGUAUCUGUGGGUUUUUGUUUCUGUUUGCAAGAUUCUGAAUUGGUAGGAACAAUAGUGGAGUUUCUUGAUGCCAUUAUAUAGUGCUGGUGACAUUUUAUGAGUAAUAUUGAAAGUGUUGUUAUGCCGUGCCGGAAAUUGCCGCCUUUGAUGGCCUUCUCAACAGAAAAGGCAUUGAAACAAAUAUCCCAAGAUGGUUUUUUGGGAUCUGAGAAUGAUCUUAAAUCCACAUAAAUCAAUACUAAUCUGUACUAGUAGCCGAAAACCAAGAAACCAAAUCAAAUUACAAGUUAAAUGUGCCAAUUUUACAUGAAAAUUUCCUCCAAAUUGAGCGGAUAAUUACAAGAACUGAGUGGAGGAGUAUUCGUUGUCAAAACUGAGUGGAGGAGUAUUUGUUGUCAUCGAGUUUUGAAAGAAUUCCAGGGUCUUAUCUGCAUGCUGUGGAAGUUCAAACUAGCAAUCCGGUGAUAUUGAGCAAGAGAUCAGUAUGAAGAAUGAAGGAAAGUGUGACUCAAAAAACAAGCACAGUUCAGACCUAUUGUUUGUUAGGACUCAAUCAUCUGCGUGGUGUACUUCGAUAGCGAAGAUCGUCGAAUUAGUGGCCAUUAAUCUUUUCCUCUUGAUCAUUGCAAUCCGUUAGGAGUUUUCUUCUGUGGAUUCAAGAAAUAGGCUGUGCUCUUUAUUUAUUGCUUUGGUGGAUUCAAGAGAAUUUGGCAACUAGUAAGAGAACAUAAAUUUAUUUGUGAUGCCACUAAUCUAGAAUAUAGAGUAUGAUACUUUAAGUAAACAGACUUAGUUUGUACGACGUAAAAAUUGUGACCAUUGGUACUUUGUGCAGCUAAAAAGGGCCUAGCCAUGUAUCAUUCUGUAACAAGCUUUGUGUCUUCCAAGCUUUAUGAUUGCAAUGCAGACAUUGUCAUUUUAUAUAGAGUGAGAAAUGUUGGUGCAUCUAUGAAAUUUCAUUACUUUGAAAGUACAUAGUUCAAUUUAUCCUCUCUUUCAAAGGACAUUUCAAAAGAUAGAGAAUGGGAGAACUGUACCCAUAGAACAUAAUUACCUUAGUGUUGAUUCGUGUGAAACAUUGCGACAAUUAAAGAGCCAUAUCAGAUUAUUUCUUGGCAGGUCAAGUUCAAGCAUUUUCGGACACUUCUUGAUUAGCAUUUCACUUGCAAAUGUUAGGAAUACUUGAGAAGUUCUCCUGCAAAAUAGAAAUUCGCCUCUUUUUAUUUGCAUAAUGAAGUUAUUUUCAAGAAACUUUAGAGCAAUUAUCCUUUUUUUGGGUGCAGGGGUACCUUCAAAGUCUAAAGUUGCCUGAAAUAACUCAUAGAGUUUAUUUGGAUGUUGAUAUUGACGGCCAGCGUGCAGGUAAAUCUCCCAGAAUGGCCUUAUUUUGAACCAUACGAUAUGAUAUUGCAAGAAAUGAAUGUUUUUUUUUUCACCUGCUCUUCCAUGGUUUUUAGUACGUUUUUUUCUUAUUUUAGUAAAAGCACAUAUCUUUUCCGUUCAUAGAACGUUCUUCAUUCUUCCGGCAAAAUUGCUAAUUUUCAUUCAGAAUACCAUUCUUUGUAUUCUUCAGUAGUUUGGAUUGUGUGUUCUUUUAGUUUCGAGCACUACAUGGUGCUAAAAUCAGCAAAUAUGUGGCCUAGAUUAGUACUAACUUCUGUUUGGUUGGUUCAAGGAUCUGGAUUGCACUGGCCAGGUUUGCUUUAAUGGAUUUCCUAAACCCUUCAUUUACAGGUGUUGUGCUUUAGUUAAAAAAUUAACAGAAGUAUUUCAUGAAAGGUGAAAGUACAAGGGCGUUAUGUUUUAUCUAUAUGAUGUGUUUCUAUUCACUAUUUUUUUUAAUCAGUUAGCAGCAUCUUUUACUUGGCUUUCCAGCUUGGUUGCUCCAGUAAAGAACCUAUUAUUAAGAUUUUUCUAGCAUAUUUUGCCAUGUGAGCAUAAUCCGAAAUUCUAUCGCCUAAUCGUCACAGUACUCUAUGUUUGCUCUCACUGUGAUUUGACUUCACCAAAAUAGUAAAUAUUCUCUCUAUUCGUCCAGUUCCAAUAGCAUUUUUGUAGGUGAACACUAUAAUAUAGGGUGAGUUUCACUAUGAUGUUUGCACCUACUUAUACUCACAAUAGAGGUGCAUUUGACAGUUAUAUUAGGUUUGUACUGCUUCAGUUGCCUCUUGAUUAAUAUGUCAAGUUUCCCUGAAAAGAGAAGUUAAGACAUUCAUUUUAUUUGCUUCCUGAUUUAUUAACAGAUCCUCUAUCCUUCCCUUCCCAUGAAGGGUAUACAUCCUUAACAUUUUUUAUGUGAAUCCUUUUCAGGUAGAAUUGUCAUCGGGUUAUAUGGCGAAGUGGUACCCAAAACUGUUGGUAGGCUUAUGAGCUUUUCUUUCUUAUCAUACAUGCUGAUAAUGACUUGCUGGUUUCUGUAUGAUCUUAGUGAGAACAUACCAAUAUAAAAUAGAGGAUCACAUAGAUUCUUACUAGUUUUUAAAACUUAAUGGGUUGUUUUGAUUAUUUAUACAUGUUGACAGCUGAACUGUUCAUCAACUAGUUUUAGUCGCCAAUUCAAGCAUAAUCUUCAUAAGCAUGUAAACUAUAAUACAAAUAGCUUUUCGUGAUUUCUUGCUCAAGCUGUAGAGGUUUUGCUGAUUUUUACUUCACUAAUGGAGGCGAGAUGAGAAAAAUGAGAUUUACCUUUUGGCAUCAUUUUGUUUUACACUUUAGUUUCUUUUCAUUAUGUUGUAAUCUUGAUCUUCCUUUGCCUUCCAACUUCAAGAAUAAUGUUUUCUCUUCCUAAGCAUUCAUGUGUCAUGAUUCUUUUUGUAGAUAGAAAUUGGAGGACAUACCCGUAUAUGUUAAUAUCUCAUAUUAUGAUGUACAGUUGACCUUUAUGUGCGUAUUUUAGUACCAGCAUUAUAGUUUAUAUAUUUCAUUUAUGCUUUUAUAAUUAUAACACAUCUAAAAUGGCUACUAAUUGUUUCCUACUUCCUGUGUUGCAGAAAACUUCAGGGCCCUCUGCACAGGUACUCGAUUUACAUCUCUGCCUCUUUCUGUUGUUUCUAGCAGAUUCUGAAGCAUAUGACAUAUAAAAGUUCUUUGAAAGUUUCAACAGCAAAAAUUGUGUGAGCUACUUGACUUAAAUGACCAUUUUUAUUGAUUUUAUGUAAUACCAUUUUCCACUCGCAGGCGAAAAAGGUGAGGGGGCCAGUGGAAAGCCUCUUCACUACAAGGGAACGCCAUUUCAUCGCAUAAUACCAGGUUUUAUGAUUCAAGGUGGUGAUGUCGCUCAAGGUGAUGGAAAGGGCGGCGAAUCAAUAUAUGGUGGCACAUUUCCUGAUGAAAACUUCACCAUAAAACAUUCACAUGCAGGUUCAGAUUUUCAACUAAUGCAAUCUUGCUCGACUCUCUCAUAACUCUCCGCAGUUAGACCGUACAGCUUAUUCUGUCAUGAAUUUCAACAUGGCAUUUUACAUAUUGCAAUAUCCAUUUAUUCAUACUCAUUGUAGGCUUCCUGCUAAUAGUUUAUGCAAGUCAUCCUUGAGUGUUCUCUAUCAUUUUAUAUAAAAAUUGUGGUUGAGUUUCACAGAUGCAAAGCCAUACGUUUGCUUGGCUACAACUGAUGCAAAAAUUAUAUGUUCUGAUUAGUAUUAUCAACUGUUUACACAUCUAGGACCAAUUUCAAAAAUUGCUACCAAUUACCACGGAAAACAUACAUUUAGUUCAGAGAUCUUGGAAUUCUUUGUAUACUCCGCCACUGUUUUCCGGAUUCUCGAAGAAACAUUUCUAUUUACUCUGCUACAUGGAUCUUGUCAUUGCUGAGAGUGUUUAUUUUUAUAUAUAGGUAUCGUAUCUAUGGCGAACUCCGGACCUAAUUCAAAUGGAUCCCAGUUCUUCAUAACCACAGUUAAAACAUUCUGGUAAGCAUUGGCUGUGCAAGUGUUAGGAAAUCAAACAAACUAAUUCAUGCGUAGCACACGAAUUUUUGAUUCUAGGUUGGACGGGGAGCAUGUUGCUUUUGGUAAGGUGAUCCAGGGUAUGGAUGUGGUUUACGCCAUCGAGGGGGGAGCUGGGACUUACAACGGGAAGCCGAGAAAGAAGGUUGUCAUUGUCGACUCGGGCGAGAUACCGAAGAGCAAAUGGGACGAGGAGAGCUGAGUUACUUCUUGCUGCAUCAAUCCCAUUCAAAUGCUGAAGCAGCGUGAAUUCGACUGGCCAUUUGAGGUCUGACUCUCACAUGAACUGCAUGAUGUUGUAAAAUCAGAGUGAUUUAGGAGAGUAGUUGAUCAAAGAAACAAAUUUAGGGGGUUGUGGGGGUUUCCUUUCAUUGAUAGCUUGUUUAAGUGUGGAAACCCGUUGUCUUUCCUUUUUUUUCGCCCCUUUUCUCUCACAAAUAGUGGUUGAAAGCCCGGCCAUGCCGGGCUGGGCCAAAACAGGCUAGGGGCUGGCCUAGCCCGGCUUCAAUUUUAGGCCAAGCUGUGCCGGGCCUGAGCUGCUUAGCCUCCGGCCUAGCAUGGCCCUUCGGCCAGAAGGCACAGGCCGUGCCAGGCCGGGCCGGGCUGUGCUUCGGGCCGGCCUCUUAAAGUAUUUAUUUUAAAAAUUUUUUAAAAAAAUUUAUUAAUAAAAUUUAAAAAUAUAAACAAUAAAUAUUUUUAUUUAAAUUAAUAUUUUGAUUAAAUCAUUAAAAAUUUAUAAAAAUAAUUAUAAUAUAGUAAAUAUUUAAUUUUUUAAAAAAAAUAAAAUUGUAUUAUAUCAUUAAAAAAAAUUAAAUGGAAUUUUCGUCCAAACCAAAAUCACUCCUCCCAAGGUUAGAUCUUGGGAGGAGAGCUCCUGGGGAGGAGGGCUCUCUAAGGGCUCGGGCCUAAGGCCCAAGGCACCCUUGGGGGUCCAAACCGUGUUGGCCCGGCUAGCAGGCCGCCUGCCUCUCCUCGGCCCUGCACGGCGUUCAAGCCUAUUUCGGGCUAUGCUGUGCCGGGACGUUGGGCCGCAAAGGAGCAGCCCAGCCGGUCCGGCACGGGUACUACAGUAUUAGUGCUGUGCUGUAGCUCGGCCUGAAACCGUGCGGCCCACAUGCCGCCCGGCCUGUUUUACAUCCGUAAUUCACGGUAAUAUAGUGUAUGAUUACUUCGGCAUCGAUGAGGGAGUGUGUGGAGGAAAUUUUUUUUUCUGGUGUGGUGCUUUGAAAUAUUUGGUUCGAAUCUACUAGCGACGGAGCUGCAUAAUUGACCUUUUCUUCGGAAGAUAGAUAGGUAAACACAGGUUAAACAAGAAAACUGGUACACUUAGUUUUUUUUAGUUUGAAAAAAAAUGCAGUAGCCAGAAAAUGCCGAUAUCCCACAACCUUCAAAAGAAUUUCAACUUAGAUCCAACUUUGUCAGCAGUUAAUUAGAAGCAACUUUUAUAAAUAGCCCGUACAAUGACAACAAAUGACCAUUUCAAACCAAAAAAAACAUAAAAAUAAAUGAAGUAUCAUUAGCAAGAAAAGUUCAAAAUUUAGCAAAGAUAAAUAUAUAAAACCGAGGCAUUAAAUUUUCCAAUUCCUGCCACAAAUUCAAGACCCCACGCCCUGAAAGGAACACUACUUAAUCAUCAUACUAUCAGAUUACAAAACCAAUCAAUUGCGACACAAUAAAAUAAGCAAGAAUUAACCGCAAUUUUUUUUAAAAAAAAGAAGAGUUAAAAAGAAGCAUGUCAUGUGUAACAACUGAUAGGCAACUAUGUUAGCUUGUUUAUGAGAGAGAUACAUGUACCGAGGUUCCAACGGAUGGGGGGAAAUUGCUUUACUAGUUAAACUUGCAUGUAAACAACCAUACCUCCAACAACUACUUUUGCUCAAAUCAAAUAUCCCUAAAUAAUACUCAGAAAUCAAAUUUCCAACAAAUUAUCUAUACUUGGCGUUAUUCACUUUUUACCUAUUAGUAGUCUGUCUGAGAUAGUCGACUUGUCCCAACCUUUUUAGGGGCCAGCAACACUUCCAAUCAUCCCUAAAAUGUUGACAAAGAGAAAGGAAAAAAAAAGGGGGAAAAGACUAUUGUCGAGAUGUGACUUGUUUGUGACCAAAAACAUAAGGUUCCCACCCACAUUCCGGCUCCUUCCGCUUCACGGCCAUCCCCGAAGUAGAGGUAGGAUGCAAGGUGCCUCUCAUCGGCUCUUGAGUCAUACCACUGUGGCCUUGCAAAAGAAAAUCCCUACUCACGCCAUCCAAUGAAGCAACAGUUCCAGAAUUCAGAUCCGGGCCUCGCCGUAGAGACGCGAAUUCUUCCAAGUUGGAGGGGUAAUUUGGAAAAAAUGGCGGCAUUGUUGAUAGUGGGCCGCCGAGUGGCCCCCUGAUAACCUGCGGAACAAUAGCAUUUCCUCUAGAAUCAAACAUGAAAGGAAUGCUCUGAGGUCCAUAUAGUACCGGAGUAGUCAUGGGAUAACCCGGAGGAAAGAUCUGAGUAUAAGGAAGCACAGAUACUGAAGGAAUCUGAGCAGUAUAUGGCGGCAUGGAUACCGAAGAAACUGUGGGUCCCACAUGCCGCUCGUUUCCUAGAAAGGGCGGCUGUUGAAUUUUCUCGGAAUGACCUUUCUUAUCCACAGUCAAUUUUGCGCCCAUAAGCGUAAUUACAGAGGCAUUAGAAGAAAUUUCAUUAGAAUCACCCGAAUCCAAUGACAUUAGAUUGUCGUUCAAAUCAAAAUCCCUCACCGCUGGCUUCGAGUCAAAAUUCUCAGUCCCAAGGCGGUUUAGGUCCAAAUUGGCCCAUUCUUCUGUACUUGAAAUGACUUCGGUUGAAGAAUCAUCCUCACCUUCAGUCACAUUUAGAUCAAUGCCCACGAAAUUUGCCUUCUGCUUAAGGCUUGUAGUUGCCUUCUCAUCGUCAGGAGUUCUUCGAGGAGAAGCUGGUCGAAAAGCACUAGUGGCAGCAGUUCCUUUCCAUCCUUGCUCACCCUCAAAGUGGAUACGAGUAAUCGGCAAAAGAGGAGCUCCUCUUGAAGCUGCUACAUGUAUGGGGAGAGAAGAAGCCGGCUUCAUAUAGAGAUCAUUUUCCUCGUUGCAAAUGUUCGCAUUAAGAUCAAAGCCACAUCUAUCCUUACCAGAUUCACCAACAAAUUUUUUAGCAGAAUUCAACUUGGGUGAUUCUAAAUCUGCUUCAUGUUUUUCACUACAAGAACUGAUGUUCUCCGUAAUUCCUGAACCGCCGUCCUCUCUCAGAGAAGCAUUACCAUCCUCUCUCAGAGAAGCAUUACCACCACCUGGUAGUUCAUUCUUAUCAAUUGCCCUGAUCACUGGUUCAUCCUGCUUAGUUUCUUUGAGAUCAAAAGUAUCAGCAACCUUCGCAUCCCCAGAAUGGGCAUCAGGAGAGCUGCAUAAAGCCUCUCUGUAGUCAACAACUUCCUUUUCAACUUCGAUAGCAACUUGCCUUGCCACUUCCAAUGCAUCGAUAUCCUCAUAGUCAGUAUCAAGUUUCAACUUCUUUUCAGAGGACUCAGUAGCCUUAGCCUCCAAUGCUUCUGAACUAAUGUUUAUAUGGUCCAACUCUAAUCUCUUCAUUGUCAUAGAAUAAGUCUCACAAAGAUCUUUACUGUCGCUAUCACUUUCAGAUGCUUCUUUUGUUGGAAAAAACUCAGGGCUUUGUGCCUUACUUUGGUCUAUAGCAUUAUCAGAUCGAGGCUCGAUAAUGGCAGCAGUACAGGAGUCAUUGCUUCUCUUAGAAUCCAAAUCCAAAGCCUUACUUUGGUCUAUAGCAUUAUCAGAUCGAGGCUCGAUAAUGGCACCUGUACAGGAGUCAUUCCUUCUCCUAGAAUCCAAAUCUGAGUUACUCAAUACAGUUUGUUCAAUUGGAAUUGGCGGUGCAGGUAUUGAGGAAGAUAAACUGCUAGAUGGUGCAACACUGCAUCUUUCUCUUUCAUUAGUUCUGCCUGAAUCACUUUCCAAUUUAUCAAUCUGCAUCUCUUUCACACCAUUGGGUACAUCAUAACUCUUGCCUUUAUCAACCUGUGAACUGCAUGAGCUGGAGGAGGCCAAUCCAGCAGCAGGGGAAGCAGAAGACUCUUCUGCAAUGGACAAAUUAUCCUGACAAGCAUUAGAAGCAAUAGUGGUAUUAGAUGGCAAGGGCGGAACCUGACUCGGUGUAGAAUCCUUUCCAAUAUCCGAAGGAGGUUGUGAACUUUCUGGAUCCUUUUUGGAUACUACCUCAGAACUUAGACUAUUAUCCUUCAAUUGACUCCACUUACCACACAAUGUUCUCACUUUUUCCUUGAUUCGAGUAUUAUUGUGAACAAGGAGUUGUUCAAGAGUAGUUCGAAUUCCAGAAGAAGCUAACCUUUCAUCGUCUAAUGGUAACCUUUCUAGUGAUUUUAACAGUGAGUUUAUCAAUUCCUCGGAAAAGUUAUCGCCGAUAUCAGUACUGCACUUUUGGGCUUCUUGGAACCACUGGUUGAGGAAGUUAAGCCCAUUUAACUGAACAAAAUGAUUAAGGCAUUCCUUGUUCUCUGUAACUGCUAAAGUUCCUGCAACUGCUGACCACUGCUUUAGUGCAUCAUGUAGGUUACUACUAACACAAUCUUUCAGUUUUUUUAUCUCACAAACCAACUCUUCAACUCUGGUGAUAGUAGCUAUACCAUCAUUCAUUUCAGGAGUAGUAAAGAAAUUACCAAGCAUUAUGGCUAUCCACAAUACGCAUAUAGGUGAAAGCUUUAAUUUUGCAAUCCUUGCGAGAAAAGGCUGUUGCCAUCACCACUCUGAAAUGAAAAUAAGUUGAGCUUUAUGACCACCGACAUCAAUCUAUAGCUGCAAAAGAUCAUGUAGCUUAAUCAGUUGUCUAGUCGCACAAAACAUUACAGGCAAUCAUGAGUUGGAUCAGUCCACUAUGUAAUGGAAAUUUAAUGAAAUGUUCAAUGGGAGGUAGAUAUCGGACAGCUUGCGAGUAGGUUCUAAUGGCAACUUAAAUAAAGAAGUGACCAGCCAUGGUUCAUAAUGAAAGAUGUUACAUACUAAUAUGUCAAGAAAUUGAUGCUUACUCUCAAAUGUCUUGCUGGAGUUGCUCACAAAAAGUAACAAAGCAUGUCUAGCAUGUUUCAAUCAUUCCUAAAGCAUCUAAUGUUCGAAAGGAUUCCAGUUGGAGUGUAAACAAGCCAAACAUGAGUGAGCUAAGCUCAAGUUCUGCUCAUAUAUAAUCAGGGUGAGAUCAAUCCAACUCAUUAGAUUCGAAGUCAACUCGAGUUGCUCAAGACAAGCUCAUUUACACAUUUAUCUUGGAAAAAAGAUUCAUUUUAUAUCAUAAAGACUUUGGUCAACUGCAUCCCACAUCCAUGCCCGUCUUUCAUGGUUAAUUAGCUCCAUUAAAUCAGCUUCCCUCGUGAAAAGCACAAUGUGGAAACACUCUAGUACAGCUUACGUACUUGAUCAUGUUAUCCUAAAACACUAUUGUAACAUCAUGCAAUCCAAACUUUCUCUGCAAAUAACAUGAUUCAAAGAAAGCCUCUGUCAUGUGGCAAUGGUUACAAAAACCUAACACUGAAAAAUACCUACUGUAAUUAUCAGCCAAUAUGACAUUCAAUGGUAGAAACUGAAAAACUCGACAAAAAAUGGCUGAAAGGGAAUUUGUAAUGUUCACAAAUGGCAUUUAUCUUGACCUUCCACAUAAUUUCUGAGUUGUUAAAUCUAGUAGGUCUAAAUGAUUGAUAGGAACACAACAGUGCUAUGUAAGCAAAGCAAUUGAAUUUCUAAGUGUAUAUAUCCUGAGUAUUAGAUCACAGCACUUAUGCAGAUGAUCUCCUUACGUGUCUUUCAGGUCUUGCAGAAUUGCUGAAUUUGGACUGCUUACAGAUAACCGAUUGCCUAUUUAUGAAUUUUGUUUAACUUUCUUGCCAUUAUAAUACCAGAACACUUUGAAAGAGUAGAAAAUACAAAUAACGGAAUGUAGAAAAUAAGCUAAACACCAAAACACUUUGGAAGAGUAGAAAAUAAGCUAAACAUAUACAUUUUAGAACAUGCAAGGUAAAGGCCUAAGAUUAUGUUUUUCUGUAAAAAGAGAAGAGAAAUUAAAAAAAAAAAGGACAGAAAAAUCAGAAUUCAGAAGAACGGAAUGUAGGUUGUUCAAUUAGUGAUGACAGUUACGAGGAUAAUGUAAAUUGUGAAAGCAAAAAUAGUAAGCAUUAGUUGUGAUAGAAAUCAUAUUAAGGAACAAAACUAAAACUAGCAAACUGUAAGUACAAUUAUGCAGACAUUAGCAAUGUUGGACAUAAUAGUGAUUUAUGUAGUGGUUGACUACAACCAAACAAGUGCUACAUAUGGUCAGGACAGUCAUGGUCAAGAUGAGUAGCAGAAGCCUUGUUGAUGGUAUCACGUAUUAUCCAAUCUGAUUAAGCAGCAAAUCUCCAGCAUUAAUGAAAUUAAGGCUUGGUAUGGUCUCCUUUAAUUUUUUUUUUUUUUCUUGAAGACAGAAACAAGUGCGUACGUAAAAAAGGUGUCAUCUUUCACCCUCAUCAGGACUAUCAUCCCUAGAAGAGUACAACUUGGAUGACAUGAGCCUAAAAUGCGCCAAAAGGUAGAUUGCAAUAAAACAGCUCUUUAACUUGUGGAAAGUCUAACUGGCUGUUUUAGUUUAGUUGUUUGAGUGUAGUGGGAACACACUCUCUUCAGUAUGCUUUAUAUUAAUAAUAGUGUUGUGAAAUCAAUUGUCAGUUUGAUGUACAGCGUAAGGGACAAGAAAUUGAACUAUUGCCCAUCAAGAACUAUGCUAGAAAACCUAACAGGAAGUGCACGCUUAGUCUUUGCUUCCUUAAAUAACAGCCUAACUAGUAGUAUACAAGGGACUCGAAGGGGGAAAAAAAGAAAAAAGAAAAAAAGAAGAUAUGGUGUACUCUAAAGUUGUAUGCGUGCAAGCAGACAUUCAAAAACCUGUCCCUGCCCCGCAAGCUUCCUCUUCUUUUUUUUCCGAUUUUUUGCACAUUUUUCUGUUUUUGGGCCUUAUAGGCAAGUAGGGCAAGCCAUAAAUUCCUGCAAUCCACAUAUAAAGUGUAUGAUGACAUGCAAAGUCACGUGAAUGCCUACUAAUAAAUCAAGAAAAUAUAGUAAAAAACUUAAUACAGCAUGGCCGAACCAUCAAAUCUGGCCCUUCUACUAGAAAAGGCAUUGAUCAACCAAAAUCAGAUAACAGACACCAAUUAAUAUUCACAUUUCACUAAUUUGCUUUACAAAGGAAGAAGUGGGCAACCAACAUAUCAAAAUUUUGGUGGGAUGCUCAUGAAAUAUUACCAAUUGUGAGCACCAAGCAAUCAACUGAAGUCAGAAUAUCACCUCAUUUUCCAAGAUGAAGAAUAAGGACAAUCAAUCAUGUCAUCAUAUAUUUAUCAGACCAACAAAGUUCAUCUCACUCACCACAUUCUCAAGGAGAUAAAAUAAACAAAUCACACUCCUAGUAGAUCUGGAAUUUUAGAUAGUUGCCAUUGCUAAGCAAGAGCAGCUAAACAUACACAAGAGUUGGCUCUCAUAACUCUAGGCAGCACACAGGCUUAGUGAUGUGGCAACUACAAAAGAUAAACAGAAGUACAAUCCAAACCCAAUUUAACCAUAGAAAUAUCCAAAUCAAACCCAAAAAAAGACCCACUUUGAUGCCAAUGGAGUAGACUUUCAAACUUCGAUUUGUUUGUGCAAAAUGGAACUUUUGUUUCUUUGUGCAACUUGGACACUCAAUCUGUAACACCCCAAUAGUCCCACAUCGGAUGGGAACAGGGUUGUGAUUGGGUAUAUAAGAGACUUUGAACCCUAGCAAUAAUAAUUGGGCUUAAACAUUUUGAGUCGGUAGUUUAGGACCAACGAGUUAUUAUUGUUAGCAGGUCGGAUCGUCACAGUUGAUAUCAGAGCGAAUCACCAGCCGGAAAUGUCGGAUAAGUCUCGGCUUAGCCAGGGUUAUACAGCAAAUAGAGCGUGGCUCCCCAGCUAAUAACCGUUGUGAGUGGAGCACGGCUCCCUACAACAUCGGCAAAAGACUAGCGAGACAAAUCUCACAUCGCAUGGCACUAAUAGGGCUAAAUCUUUUAACCCAACUAUAGCAUUUUGGGCGGUGGCUAGACCCAAGCGAUUUAAGAGAAUCAAGCGUGCUAGGGCUAGAGUAGUCCUAGGAUGGGUGACUCCCUGGGAAGUGGGGCGCCACACAAUCAUACCAAACAAAAUUGCAGAAAUCAGAUUACAUCGCCAUUCACGAGGUAGUCUGGUGGUUUGGAUACCAACAUCUUUCUAUGCAUCCUAUGUUAACAUCUGAGGAAUGAGUCGGUAGGAGCCAUGUUGCCAAAAAGAAAAGCUACAGCACCACCUAGAACACACAGAAUCACACCCCUUCUUGAGCCUGAAAUUCAACUGCAUACGGAGCAGACUGUUGUGAUCAAGGAUUCUCCUUUUUUUUUGCUUUCUAGCGAUACUAAAUCCUAAGAACAUAUGGUAAAUGUGUUUGAGAUAUGGCUAAAAAUCCUGCUACCUUUUAAAUACAGGAUGAGGCUUUUUUACUGCAAUUUUUUUUUCUGAGGGAUUGAAUGUAGUUUCGAUUAUCCUUCCCUGCUUUGUUAUGCCAGAAGAAAGCAGGACCAGGAUCACUGGUUCCAAACAUACCUAGAUCCUAACAUCUCAACUAAGACAAGAACAGCCACCGUCCAAAGGACGAAAUAUACAAGAAAGAGAAACCACCAGAACAUCCCCAUGACAUAUAAAUCAAAGUUCUGAAAAUUAAGAGCUGAUUAUCAGCGGAAGUUACAUAACAACAUGAACUUAACUAAAUAUGGUUUCCUUGUCCAAACAAGAAGAGAUGAAACUUAAAGUAGUUUCACUGUUCUUAAGGGCAUUGCCAUUUAUCAUUCUAAAGUAACUAGAUUUGCCAAAAACGUGAAGGAAAAAGGUAAAGGGUAUUAAAAGACCAAAUCAACCAUUACAACUUAUCAACUAAUCGAUCAGAAAAUGAAUUACGACCUGAAAACAUCAUUAGAGAUCACUAUCACUAUGUUCAUAAUUUAACAAAUUAAUGGCCCCAAGUUACCCAAGAUAAAAAAAAAAUAAAAAAAAUCGAAUUAACAGCAAAGAGAGACAAUAAAUCAAGGAUUUAACUAACUUCAGCACAAACCAAAACCCUAAUCGGCUAAUCUUAGCACAAUUGAGGUCUAGACGAUCAUCUAUUGGUCGACAAACUCUCUACGCCCUAAUUAAAACAACUAUAACCUUAAUAUAUAUAUAUAUAUAUAUAUAUAUAUAUAUAUAUAUAUAUAUAUAUAUAUAUAUAUAUAUAUAUCCUUAAAAUGUUGAAAUCGCGAUCCUUCGCUUGAAGCCGACGAUUAAUAGCAAAAUCUAGGCCCUAAAUCGUCGUCUCCUCGCUCGAAGUGUCAUAAGCAACACAACAAGUCGGAAUCUGGCCCCAAAUGCUCCGAAACACACAAAAUACCAGAACCUUGUACACACAUCACGAAACGGAAAGAAAAAACUACGAAGUCUACGAAGGAUUCGAGAUAGGAUGGCGAAAAGGGUUACCAAAUCUCCGCCGCCGCUGCAGAGUCGCCGGAACCCUAGAAACCGAGGAGGAGGUGCCCCAGCUUUUUGACCGUUUCCCCCACCCCCUCUCUCUCUCUCUCUCUCUCUCUCUCUCUCUCCUCGAAUCUUCGCUUUCUAUAGAGCUCGCUUUACCUAAUUACCUCUGAGCGCGACCCCCCCUCUCUCUCUCUCCCUCUCCCUCCCUCUCUCUCUCUCUCUCUCUCUCGCCUCUGUAAUUGUUCUCUCUCUCUCUCACAUUCCGUUGUGUCGAUUUUAAUUAAUCGAGUUUAAUUCUCGCGAGGGAGAAAGUGGGGCCCACGAGGGGGCCCACGGGGGUGGCACGUGCGGCACCGGUGGUGGGGGAGCUGGGAAGGGGUUUCGCGUGACGGCUCCUGCGUGGCCGACAAGUAUUGCCUGCACCUGGUGCACACGUACAUGCACCGCACUUAAGUGGUGCAAUUUUAAAAUAAGAAAUUCUACAAACUUCAAAUUUCUUUCUAUGUGGUUUAACUCAUUUUUAUUUUGUCUUUACCAAAAAAAUUCUAUAUGAAAUAGAAUGAUAAAUAAAUUUUUUUAAAAAAAUUAUUCACAGGAUGACAAAGUUAAAAAUAUGCUAAAAUAUAAGGAGAGACAAAGGAAAAACGAGCUAAACUGUAAGGAGACAAAGCGAAACUUAUUAAACACAGAAUACCAAAAUGAAAAUAAGCUAUAGCAUAAGAGAGGCAAUUUCAAGUUUAUCCAAAAAUCUAUUAUAUAUAUACUUUACAGUUCAAAUUUAUUUUUAUUCAUUUUUUGAUCCUUUUAUGAAAUUGUAUAAUUUUUUUUUUUUUGGUUUUUGUUUACUAUUAGUUAGAAUAUGCCUAUGUGUAUUAUAUUUACUAUAUGCCAAUUUAUAGAAAAGAUAUGUAUUUCAAAAUCUACUAUCUAAGAUAUCAAGUAGCUCAAAAAAUGAAAACCGGAAAAAAUAAAUUAUUUCAUCCCUAGGAAAGCGAUGUGUAUAAUUUUAUAAUUUUUUUAUCUCCAAAGUGUGUUUAUUUUUUCAAAAGGAGAGAGAGAUAAAAUGGUUCUCGACAGUAUAUAUUAACUUUAACUGUUUAGUUCACCAUAACUUUACAUUUGUUUGAAACUAAAAUUUUUAAAAUAGUAUAAUUGGCUUUUGCCCACCCAUACCAAAAUUAAUUACAAAAAAAUAAAAUAAUAUUAAUUCAUCUAUUAUAUCUUUAGAUUAUACGUCAUUCGUUUAUUACCAAAUGAACUGUAGGUUUAAAAAAACUUUAGUCUAAAGCUAUACAAAUAAAUAACUGAAGAAAAUUAAUUUUUAUCUGAACUUCAGUUCAUACUUAAAACUUGUCCUUUUUUGAGAUAGAGAGAGGAAAAAGUAGCAUGCUAGAUAUUUCGUUCAAAUUUUUUUAGAAAUAAAUUUAGCUGAAAAUAUGAAGUAAUUAGACUUCGAACUUGAAAUCUCGAUUACCAAUCAUUAAGUUUUUUAUCACUUGCGCAAGAGACGACCGGCUAAGCUUUAUCUUGGAAAAACUUCAGAUAUCAUUUUUGUGGUUUCGCAUUUUCUCACUUUAGUAUCUUGUGGUUUAAAGUGUAUCACUUUCGUACUCUGUGAUUUUAUUUUUCUCUUUUUGUUAUUCCUUUCACUAAUUUUUUUCGUUAAAUCAAUGAUAAAGUUAAAACUAAAGGGUGCUAAAGUGAAUAUUCAAUAAACUAAAAGUGAGAUAUCUGAAAUUUUUUAUAUAUAAUUUAAUGAAAAAUGAAUGGAAGAACUGACGAAAAAAAAUAAAUAAAAUUAUAGAAUACAAAAUUGAUACACUUUAAGUUACAGGAUACUAAAAUGAGAACGUGUGAAAUUACAUUGGUGGUAUUUGAAGUUUAUCUUUUUUUAUCUUCGAUAGAAUUUUUGGAAUGCGCACAUUGAAUGAGAUAUAUUUAUACACGCGGUGUAGGUAAUAGUUUGUCGUGAGGAGGGGGAGAGGACUGAACCGGUGGGAGGGGGUGGGGGGCCACCGGGAGCAGGCAGGCGGUAGCGGGCGACAGCGACUGGGAGAGGACGGCAGUCUGGUCCUUGUUUUGGGGGGGUGUGUGGGGUCGGUCAGGCUCGCACCCGGCGCUUUCAGAAAAAGCGACAGCGGGCAGACAGCUGUCCAAUCUGCAACAGCAGACAGCGAUUUGGGGAAGCGGAAAGCUGACACGUUAUGUGUCAACUGUGUCAUUUUUAAGGCUUGCUUGUUCAAUUUAGAUUUAGAUUAAUGUCAUGCUUACUGAUACUUGAAAACAAGGUCGGGGAUGGAUGGAACUAGGGGUGUCGAAUAGCCCAACACGAGCGAGGUUCGGCCCGUGUUCGGUUCGUUCAAUAAACGCAUCGAACACGAGUUGACUUAUUAAAAUAUCCAGUCAAAAAAAUCGAUUUGUAUUCAACUUAUUUAUUAACAAGUCAAACACGAACAAGCUUAGAAGCCAGUAAACAAAAAAUAAGUUAAAUAAGCUAAAUUGAAUAUAUAUAUAUAUAUAUAUAUUUGAUAAAAAUUAUAAAAUCUUGUCCAUUAAAUUUUGAUUUAAUUGUGAAAUUUUAUAUAAAAUAAUUUUUUUUAUAAUAUGACCUCGGCUUUUUAAAUAAUUUUUUUUUUUGCUAAAAAUCAAAAAUUAAAAAAUAUAUUAUAUAUAUAAUUAUUUAUUUAUAUAUAUAAGUAUAUAUAAAUAUAAAUUAAAUAAAUUAUAUAAAUAUAAAAUAUAAUUCGAGCUGUUAUCGAGCUGAACACGUGCGAGUUGACCAAGCUCGUGUUCGGCUUGUUUAUUAAACGAGCUGAAAAAUUCAGUUCGUAUUUGACUUGUUUACUAAACGAGCGACCCGAUCUUAAGCUUAUUUCGAGUUAAACACGAGUUGGCUCGCGAACAACGAGUUGGAUUGCCACCUGUAGAUGGAAUGCCGAGAGUUGUGGGAGCAUCGGAAGUAAAGCCAUUCAAAAUACCCGAUAUUUUAUAUCCGAUCCGGAUUCUAUUUGGAUCAUAUUCAGAUUCGAAUGGAACCCGAUAAAAACUAGAUAAGAUACAAAUAAAAAAAAUAUAUUCAUUAAAAUUUUGGAUAUGGAUCCGGAUAUUUUAUAUCCAUACCCGACCGUUUAUUGGGUAGGAUCUGGAAGAGUUUUCAAAUCCAAAUCCGGACCUGGACCCAGUAAAAUUUCCAAUAGUAAGUAAAAAAAAAAAAAAUGUUGAGAAAUCAAUUUGAAUAGAACUUAUAAAUGAAUGGUCUAUGUGUAUUUUCAUCCUAGUGAAAAUUCUAAUCGCUCUGUUUAUCCCCUUUUUUUUAUUUUACUCCUUAUUUUUUUAAAACCUAAUGCUUGAAUCGUUUUUUUGAAUGAAUUUUAUUGAAUUGGAUGCAGCUAAUUAGAAUGCGAGUUUUCUAUAGUGAGAUAUUUAUUGGUUUGUUCAUAAACUGUUUAAUAAAAUCUAUAAAAAAUAUAUGUAUACCGAUAUACGUAUCAGAUUUAGACCCGAUCUAUAUUCGAUCCGUACUCAGUCUUAAGCGGGUAAUAUACGGGUAGUCGCUAUUCAGAUCCGCUCAAAUAGACCCGACGGGUAUAUUAUUAACUUAAGUAUUCAGAUCCGGACCCGAUUCAAAGUUAAAUUGGUAGAAUAUAUAUAUUUUUCUAUUUAUUUUUUUUUAAGAUACGAAUGUAGUAUAUAAACUAUUCAGAUCCGACUCUGUCGGCGGACACAUUCAAUUGGAAGCGCGAAGACUCUGAUCACCGGCUCCGACUUCAUAUACAGCGCUCGUGUGUUGCAAUUUCAUUCCCUUCACAGGCGAAGUCAAAGCUCGCGACCUUCGGCCUCUCGUAAUCCAGACAAAAUAAACGUGUCCUUACUUUAUUGUAGCUUAUUUAAAUAUAUAUUAUUUUUAUAAGAUGCUGAUAUGUUGACAAAUUGGUAUGAAACCUUUUAUUACAGAAUACACAGGAACUGAUUAAAACUUGUUCAUUAUAGAUGUCGGCACUUCCAAAGAACUACAUUUUGAACUCUCCCACGUAAAAAAUUCUUAGCAAGGGGUUGGAUGUAAACUGUAUCUCGAAUCAAUAAUACAUCCUAGCGUAAUAACCCGCACGAUGCGAUGGAUAGAUAUUUAAAAAAAAUAAAAAAUUAACAUUGACAGAAAAAAAAAAUAAACGAUGAUGAAAAAAAUGAUGAUAAGAUAUGAAAUUUAUCUUACUGAUGAACGAAAAUAACAGCCAAAAGAAGAAGAAGAAAAAGGAUUUGAGCUGAUUCGGAGUAGAGUCUACACUCAACAAUUAAGAAAAAAUUGUCAUGUAACAAUUUUAGAAAAAAUAAUGUAUAGAUAUAAAUAUAAAUAUGAGCAAUAUUCUGAAUGACGUACUUGUAGUAAUUAAUUCUUGUAUAUCAUUAAUCAAGAGCGGCCUAAAUAAAUACAUCCAUUUAAUUCGUGGAUUUGUUAAAAGUAUGCAAGAUGUUUAUAAGUAUAAUAUUACUUGGUCUGAAUAUUUGAAUCGACCAUAGCUUGUUGAACUAGUGGUAAUUAGCAUGACGUCAAAAAUUAUUAUAAAUAAUAUAUUAUUACUUGAACAUAAAUUAACAUAUUAGAAACUAAUUAAGACAAAGAUCAAGGGAAACACCCACCAAUCAAAUUUUAUUUUUUCUCAAUUUUAAAAAAAAUAUUUGAAAAUUUUGAUGUGAUGCAUGGUUUGCCCCUUACAACACAAUUAGUCCUGAAGAAUAUGCCAAUUUAGAUAUUUGCAACUUUAUCAGAUUGUAAAAUGCUAUCAUGUUGUGCCCACAAUAGAAUAGUUGUGAUUGUUGAAAAUGGCAUAGUAGGGGGUUUAGGAGCCUAUCUUAACAAAUGAGUUAAAAUAAAAUAAGUUAUUUUGCAAACAUAGACAAUAUUGAGUGUAGAGCAUUACUAGCUAGAACCAUACCAUAGGAACUAGGAAGAACUAGGGAAAGCACAUUCUCUUUGUCUCAAAUUCCAUUCCUUUCAGAGUAAAAAAAAAAAAAAUGAAUAAAUAGUAGCUCAUUUUCUUUUUUUAAAAGUCCUCCAAUACGAUGAGCAGACCGUAAAAAUCUGGACAUGGGAUGAAUCACAUAGCCAUCGAACUGUCUUAGUAAGAUUUUGUUGAUGAGUAAAAAAAAAACCGACUGUUCCUAGAGCAAGUGGCAAAAAGUUUGGUGGUUGGUAUUCGAGGUCCUAAGUUCGAAUUUUAGUUGAUUCACAUUUCUAACUAAGUUUAUUUCUAAAUGAAAUAAACGAAGCAGAUAGCAUGCUACCUAUCUCUCAAAAAAAAGAAAAAACAAAUUUUUUUUUUUUUUGAGAGAGAGAUAGGUAGUACGAUACCCGCUUCGUUUAUUUUAUUUAGAAAUAAACUUAGCUGCAAAUGUGAAUCAACUAGGAUUCGAACUUGGGUCUCGAAUACCAACCACCAAGUCUUUUGCCACUUGCUUUAGGGAUGGUCGGCAAAAAAAAAAAAAAAAGAUUUUGUUGAUGAGCUCUUCUUCUGCAGUCUAGUUGCUUCUAUUAUUUUGUAGCCUUAUUGCACCAUAUAAUAAGACACUAUAUUAAAAUAAAAACAUUUGAUUGGAAAAGAAAAUGUAUUUUGUUCAAUGUAUCGAAUCGACGCCACACUUCUUCUGCAUUUCUUUUUUUCCAUGUUGUUGGUCUCUCAAAUUUGAUUGAUCACAUUGAGUGGUCCACAAUGUUAGUUAUUUAUUAUGAACAAAAAAUUAAGUAUGAUAUGCAUGACAUGAUUCAAUGAAUGUAUGUAACUUGUUGUGCAGUGGAUGCUACUUUUAUGGCUGCUACUUUUGUGGUUGCAAAUUAGAGAUUAUAGUGAGUAAUCAAUGAGCUUUUUCCCUUUCAAAGGCCUAAGAAAGUAGAAGAACAAUAUACUAUAACUGCUCUUUCUAGCAACAAUUGCAACAGUAAAAAUCUCCCAACCAAAAUGUUCUAAAUUUGAAUCUCUUACUUUUUAGACCAAAAGCUGAUUUCAACUUUCUCUUCCAAUUUUCAUUGACAAGAACAGCGUCAAAUGAAAAAAACCAACAAAGAAAUUAGCACUCAUUUUUUAAAAAUAUCAAUUAAUAUGAUUGUGUCGAAUGUAAAUAUUAAAAAGGGAUAAUUGCCUAUAUACCCCUCAAAACUUCAAAAAUAUCUCAUUUACCCCUACUUUUUUUUUUCUUUCAAAUAUACUCCUCAUAUAUUUCUCUGUUAUUCCAAAAUAUUCCUGCAGUUACCACCGUUAAGUUAACUUGGAUUAAACGUGAAUUAAAUAUCUACCACAGUUACAAAAAUUAAAAUACCACUUUUGCCAUUAACUUAAGAGCAAAUAAGAAAUGUUGAUGAUGGUAGAAGGGUAUAUUUGAAAAGACCAAAAAGCAAAAUACUUUUUAUGCCCCUAACUUAAGGGCAAAUAAGAAAAGUCGGUGAUGGUAGAAGGGUAUAUUUGAAAGGGCAAAAUAGUAAUUUUAUAGAGAUAACAGAAUUUAUUAACAUAUUUUAACAUUAGGGGUAUAUUAAAAAUAGGUUGGAACGUAAAAAGGGCAUUUUCAAUAUUAAUUUUCUAAGAGGGAUAAAUCAGAAAGUCGGAAAUUUUUCAGACGUAUAUAAGCAAUUGCCCCUAUUAAAAAUGUCGUUCUCUCUUAGCUAAAGCUUUUAGAUAAAAAUAAUUAUUUUAUAUAAUUUAAUAUUUAAUAUGAUAUCAAAACAUAAGGUCUUGAUUUUGAAUCCCGCCAGGCUCCUAGUUUUAUUUAAUUCUUCAUAUUUAAUUCAAGUUCACGUCUUACGGCUAUCAAACAAAUCUUAUAAAUAUUAAAAAUACUAUUAUUUUUUAUCUUAAUUUUUUAGAGAUAUAAAAAAAAGAUUAAGACACAUAAAAACUAUAUAAAUUGUGGGUCAUUCUCGAUCUAACAAAUUCCUGCUUAUUUAUAAAAAUCUUCUAAUGUAUGAAUAUAUAGUACAUCAGGCUCCUCAAACUAUCAAUGGAGUGCUGAACCGUCAAUUUAGUGGAAGAGCUGUAAUAAUCACAUGAACUUGCUCUACUCUUAUCAAAUUUUGAAUUAUAUACCAUGUAUCACGAAUAUUUCUAUAAGUCUCGCGUGUCUGUGUCAGACACGUCUUCGGUGUUGACACUUCUUAAUUAGACGUGCGUUAAAUGACAAUCCAUAGCGCAAAUAAUUAAAAAAUAUAUAUACAUAUUUUUAUUUUACUUUUUUUAUAUAUGCAUAUAUAAUAUAAGAUAAUAAAUACUUUAGUUUUUUAAUUAAUGAAUGCAUACAAAUUAGUGAAAAAAUUUUCUUCUUAAAAUAUACGAAUAAUAAAUGAAAAUUUUACUAACUUUCGUUUAUAUAUGAGAAAUAUAACAAUAUAUUACGAAAAUUAAUAUUUUAUAUAUAAUAAAUAUAUAUUAUUAUAUUAAUAAUAUUAUAUUUUAUUAGCAGUGUCUAUGUCGUAUUCCUGUCCAAAUUUUUUGAAAAAUGCUGAGUCGACAUUUUCGAGUCUUAUCUCAUCCCGUAUUCCGUUCAUCCCGUAUUCCGUUCAGUUUCCGUACCGCGUAAGUUUUAUAAAAAUAUCGGCCUUCAUAUCUAAGGCCUUGGUUAGAUAUCAAAACAAACUAGCCGGUGAUCACUCAUAUGCUUUGAGAACUUUUCUUUUUAUUUUUAUGUAAGCUAAGGCAGGUGUUUGGAUAGAAAAAUUAAAAUUUUGAAAGAUUGAAUAGUUGAUUCAAAAUAAUUUAUAGUUUAGAUAAAAAUAUGCUAAGUAAAAUACUCAUACAUUUAAAAAAAAUCCACUAUUCAUAAGAGUAGUACUAUAACAUGCAAAAAAAAACAAAUUAACAAUUUAAAAGAUUAGUAUAUUUUUUAUAGCGAUGGCAAUGAAGGGGAUUCAGUUGAGGGACUUGGGGGACGAUAUGAGAUCCGUAUGGGACAAGUGGAACAGUGCUCCGUCGUCUCGAACCAAAUUAACCGGCCUCUGGGACGUAAGGAACAGUAUCAUUUUUCGAAAGGCUAACGCCUAUUCACUGAUGGCAGUGGAUAAGAUCAAGCGGUUGGUGACCCAGCGAAAGAAAUCUAUCUCGCCAAAUAGCAUUUUUCUUAAUGUUUUACUGUUCCUUACUAUACUAUUUUUUUUUUUUUUGAACUUUCAAUUUUUUUUCAACUUUUUUUUUAUUUGAUAAAGAUAUACUUUCUCAUGCGCGAUACUUAAUUCAUCCUUCUUAUGAAUAAACAGAUAAUAUGCUAUAUUUUCUAAAAAAAAAUAUACGUGUUCGGUGAUGCAUGCACCACAUCCCCAAGACCAAAAAAAAAAAAAAAAAAAAAAAAAAAACUCCUACCAAAAGAGCGAGGCAGAGUUGAGGGAGUCGUCAUUCGUGAGGAAUUCUACAUUGUCACACUUGCACCACGUCAUUAAUAACAAGCCAAUCACAUUUCUUUUUUUCAAAUAAAAAUACAAAAAAAAUAUUUUUAUACAAUCAUGGUAAGACAUAUACCUCUAAAAGAAGACAUUUGAUUAGUUUGUUACGCCACAUCAUCAAUAUAUCCGAUAUAUUGCAUUCUAGAAUUUGUCGGUCGUUCGUUGGGUGGCCCCCACGCGCUAGUCAUCAUAGCCGUCCAUCACAUCGAACGGGGGUUGAUGGGAUAGAACAGGAGGGGAAGGUGAUACAAGUCACAACACAUCACAUGCACAGUCACACACCCUGCACACAUACAUACACAUUCCUGGGAUGAACGUGAAAAGAUGAGGCGUGCGUGGAGAUUCGCGAAAACGACAGGGACCCCGGGGUUGGGACGGGGUGUAGAUAUUAUCGCAUGCACCUGAUGUAUGAGCUCGUCCCAUACACCGUACACUUUUGAAAAACUCUAUCAUAGAAAUUUCGAAAUCAGAAUUUACUUUAGGAUAUGUUUAGUAUUGAGUACUGCUUAAUGUGAUUUGAAAAGGAAAUAAAAAGUGAGGAGAACAUAUGCUUUUUUAUUUUUCAGAAAAAAUAUAGAAAUUUUAUCAUAACUAAACUAAUGCAAUCUGCAUAUUGCGAUUUUACUAUUAAGAUAAAAAUGUACUGAUUUUAUUUGAACUGUGGAUUAUUUUGAAUUGUCGACCUAACAUUUUAAAAUUUUUAUUUUGCCGCUCAAUCUUUCUAUAUGUUUGAUUUGAGUUAGUUAAUAGCAUUUUGGCUUUAAAAUCUAAUGUGUUGUUUAUAUUUAUAAAUUCAGUAUACAUCAUGUAAUUCUCACAACUAUAAAUUUAUAAAAUUAAGAAAUUAAUUUAAAUUUUGAUGUCAAAGUAUUAUUGUUGGCUGACUUUAAUCAAAUAAAUUGAAAAAUUGAAUAGCAAAAUCAAAAAUUUGAAAGAUUAGAUAACUGAUUCAAAAUACUCUAAAGUUCAAAUAAGUUUUGAAUGUUUUUUAUCCACUAUUUAUAAAAGAAAAUAGAGUAUUUUAAAUCUUAUUUUCUUACCAUACACAAUAUAUUUUGCUUGCGAUUUGAAAUGUAGACUUACUAGAUGUGUCAUGUUAUAUUCAAAAGUUCUACAUAUAAACAUUUUAAGAUAUAAUUUAGGAUUUGUUAGGUAGGAAGGGUGGCCUAACUCAAUUGAGAAAUAAAAAAAUUAGGACAAAAGCAUAUACAAGAUAUGCUUCUUCAGUUUCCAGCUAGUAUGAUUCUAAAAAUUAUAUAUACUAUAGUCAAACUAGUAUUGAUAUGUAUAAUAUCUUAUAAUUACCUACAAAUAUAAACAAAAUAUUUUUCUUAUUGCAUUUUCUUACGAUACACAAUAUGUAUUUUGUCUACAAUUUCAAGCUACGCAUCAUUGGUUGGACGUGUUUUUUAGUUUUGAAAAGUUCUGUAUAUUAAAAAUCAAUAGUGUUUAAUGCCAAUUUUGAUGAAGUAGAUUUAACUAAUCUACCUUUCUAUGUACCGUUUAUUUUCAUAGUUAUUAUGCAAAUAAUGCAGCUAGUUGUAUCCGAUUAAGAUUACCGAGUAAGAGGUCGGAGGAGUGAUUCAAUCCUCAGUUUCUCAAAAAUAAAAUUUAUAAAAAGUCUAGAAGGAUUUCAGGAGCUAGCGGCGUACGUCUAUAGGUUUGCUUAAAAAAUAAUAUAAAAAAAAUAAAAAAGAUAAAGCUAUUUUGACGCAUGCAUAUAACUAUUCAUAAAUUUUUUGAACGAAAAUCACAUUUAUGAGAUGCUUUAUUUUUUUAAAACAUAUUAGGUGGUGCAUAAAAUAUACGGAUACACCGGGUGCAUGUGAUUAUUAAUCCUGAGAGUGGGUCCCGCCGUCCGGGUGAAAGGGACCGCAAAUCAUGUAUCCGACGGUGGUGGGCCACGCGAUUCGUUCAACGGUCGCUUCCUCGCACCCCUCCCUCGACCUCCCAACCUUAAAUAGAUAUAAAUAUCGGAUGUUAUUGUUACGUCGUUUUCUUAAUAAUAACAAUAAUAUUAAUAAUAAUAAUAAUAAUAUUAUUAUUAUUAUUAUUAUUAUUAUUAUUAUUUGGUAGCACAAUUAUUAAUGCUCACAACCUAUAACUGUCCAGCUGAAAUAUAUGUACUUCCUCCGCUGAACUCUUGACUGUGUUGUCUUCAGUUUGGGUUCGGAUUCUGUCGUUAUUAAUAGAGUUAAUUUUUACUGAAAAUAAUAAAAUUUUAUAAAUAUAAUAAUUGUUUGUUAUUUCGAUUUAACUAUGUUCACUAUAUCUUAAUAAUUGUGUAUAGUAAGAAGAUGCUGUUAACAUCAUCUUUUUUCACUCAUCUUAAGACUAGUUUAGCCCAAAUUAGUCCCCAAGUUGUUGUGGGAAUUUCGCAGGAUUUGCUGCUUUUUGAUUCUUAAACAUAUUUCAACAAUUUUUUGUGACUUUGAUGUUUUAGUUGAGUUUUUAAUUCUUUUUAUCCUAGAAACCUUAGGUUGGACAUUAAUUUGAAGCUUCAAAAUUUAAUUAGAAUUAGUAGCUUUACUUUAGGGGGCAUUUGAUUCGGCGUAAAAUGAACCGCAAAAUUAUUUUUUGUAUGAACAAUGUUUUUUAACUCGGUUGGUUCAGCGUAAAAAUAUAUUUCUAUAAGAGCAUUUUUACGGAUUUUAAAAAAAUAUUGAAGUUUUCGUAUUCUACUGUUUUUCGGUGAAAAACGAAAAUUCAAGUCGCAUGAAAUUUUUUUCAUUCAUUUUUUUUUCACCGAAUGAAUCAAAUGUAAAUUUUUCUUCUUUCAACCAAAUAAAUAUUGAUGAAAAACUAUUUUUUUUUUCUACAAACCAAACACUACAAAACAUAAAACUUUUUUUUCACCGAAUUUUUUUUUUCACAAAAAAUUAUCUUCCACGGUUUUAUGUUGAAUCAAAUGGGCCCUUAGUUUGUACUCUCGUUUAUUAUUAUACAAAAUCAUUGUUAGGUAAGUUGGGUGUUUGGUGGCCUAACCAUGCCUUCAUAUUUGUUUCUAAUUUGAACAAAGGGUGAUCAAAUAAUUUAGAAAUAUACGUACGAAAGAUAUCCUUAUACAUGCAAAUAUUUUACAAAUAUUUUACAUAUGCAUUGCAAAUACAAAUAUUCCCUAUAAUGACAAGCCAAGUUAUUCUAAACUAUUUUGUUAGGAUUAAGAUGCUAUCGAUUCUUGGAUUAGGACAAGUGUUCAUUAUUAAUUACUUGUAUCACAACCAAUUACAAUAUGAUCAACAAUGGUUCAAUAGGCUAGUUAAGAUCCAAUUCAUUCUACGUAGAUGAUAGUAAAAGAAUAAUAUUUACUAUUUAUUUUUUACCCCUUGGAUACUUUAUAAGGAUUACUAGUGGCUGGUAAAAUAGUGCUGAUUCAAAAGUUAGAAAGUUGAUAGUACACACUAUUCAGUUGCUAUUAUUAAUAAUAUUCUAGGUAAACUCUAUGAAUAACUAUGCUUUUUUUUUUUAUUAGUACUUAUCAAUUGAGUCUCAAUAUUAAACACAAAAAAAGAAAAGAAAGAAAGAAAAAAAAAACAAUGAUUUGUUUGCGAACCAAAAUGUCAUUUCUUUUUUAUGUUGUUAACAAAAAGAUAAGAACAUUUCCAGUCAUAAGCAUCAAAGUACUUUUCUUUUCGUUACUCUCGAGAAUAAGGAAUUGAUUCAUGCUUGAACUUUGACGAAGAAAAGAACUCGUGCUUCUGACUUUUUGGAUAUCAGUAAAUGACUACGAUGACUUUUUGGAUAUCAGUAAAUGACUACGAAAGAGGUUCAGAAGAAGAGUACAGGGAAAAAUGAGAAAAAAAAGAAAAUAGCAUCACAACUAUUGGACCCAUAUGGUCCACUUGGGCCACUAAUUAAUAUGAACCAACAAGUUAUGUUUGGGCUUUUUGAUUCAUGUUUUGUUUUCUUUGUGGCCUUGGUUGUGAUCCUAGUUAGUUAAUUCGCGAUUAAUACGCGAAUUAUACGCGUAUUUUUUAAAAUACGAAUUAAACGGCGAAUUUCGUAUUUUUUCCAAAGGUUUGAAAAAAAACGCGAUUUUUUCGUCAAAAAUUAUUAUGCGCGAAUUAAUCGCGAUUCGCGAACAAUUCGCCCAAAAAAUCGGCGAUCGCGGUCGCCGACUUGCGGCCGAGGGUCGCAUCGUCGCCGCUCUUGUCGCCGCUCGCGUCGCCGCCGGUCUCGUCGCCGCUCGCGUCGUCGCCGCCGCUCUCGUCGCCGCUCGCGUCGUCGUCGUCCUCCGCCGCCCUCGCCGGCGCCGGGAGCAAGGGCCGCGGCGGCGGAUCCCAUCUCCUCGCCCGAGUCGUCUCCAAAAUGGGAAAGAUGAACAGUAAAAAUUAUCGGGGCUUUGGGAGGUUGGGAAUGUGCGCGGUCCACGAGGCUAUUUCAGCCUCGUGGACCGCGUGAGGGGAGGUCCACACUCCACAGUGGACCUCCCUCUCAUAUAUAUAUAUAUAUAUAUAGUAUAUAAUAUAAAAUUUUAUUUAUAAAUAUAAAAAUUUAUUUAUUAUAUAUAUUAUUUUAUUUUUAUAUAGAAAUAUUUAUAUAAUAUUUUAUUUAUAAAUUUGUAAUUAUAUAAUAUAUUAAUUAUUAUAUAUUUAUUAUAUAGCCGAAUUUUUGAUUCUGAAUUUUUAAUUGGUGAACGUAUAAUAUCCGUAUAAAUUACGUAUCCAAAUCAUUACCGAACCCGUUUUUUAACCGUAUUUUUCAACGAAUUUAAAAAUUAAAAAACGAAUUAUAUCCGAAUUAUAUCCGUACCGAAUUUUUGCCGAAUCCGAAUUAACUAACUAUGGUUGUGAUACGUAGGGUUUCAUGGGCUUAAGAACUUAUCCGUGCAUCUACAUCUACAUUUCUAUUAUGAUUUGAGGAUCUAUCUUUUAAUAAAAAAUUAAACUAAAUAUAAACUUCAGAGCCUCUCCCUAAAAAUACAAAAAAAGAAAAGAACAGAAAUCUUCAAGAAGGUUGGGUCCGAUGAGAAACUCUUUAGCUUCUUAAAAAUAACAAGAUUCCGCUAAAAAUUAUUUCUUUCAAAACAAAAUAAAGUAUAUAUUUUCUUAAUAUAAUUUUUAAUAUAAAAAUAUUCUUCAUUUAUCGAAUAACCAUGAAUAUGCGAAGAUUUUUUUUUUUUGGAUUAAAGCUAAGAUUUUUUUACCAGCAAGAUACAACACAGUUGAUUUAUAGCCGGAGCCGCUGAUGAUCAAGAAGGCCAAAUUUUGGUCCUCCAUAUGCGUUUAUAGUAUGUCUAGUAAAGAAGGGUUUAGAGUUUGUGUAUAUUACAAACAUAAUAUGAAGAGUAAAUCUCGCAUUAUCUACGUACUUUUAUCUGCGGGUACCCGCAAAUUAUUUACAAAUUUGCGAAUAUGGAUGUUAGUUUUUUUACCCAGAAAAUUAUCAGCGACAGAUGGAUACCCGUUAAGUUGUAGGCAUUUUGAGCACCCGCGGGUAUCCACAGAUAACCUCGUAUAUUUUUAAAUUUUAAAAAAUAUAAUCUUUACGAUAUUGACUUUAUAAUUAUGAAAAAAGUUAUUAAUUUUAUAACAGAAAAAUUAGGAAUGAUAAGAUACUUUUAUAUUACGUAAUUUAAUCUGUUUUAAAAUUUUAUAUUAUUUAUUAUAUAUUAUGAUAUUUCAAAUAAUAAGUUAUAUUAUGUAUUUAAAAAUUAUAAAUAUAAAUAAGUUUAACAUUUGAAAAGCAUAGGAAAAAAAAAACUUGCGUGUAAUCCGCAUACCCACUCGACCGCUCAUGGGUGGGUAUGGGUAAAAAUGUUAACUAUCGAAAAAUUUACGGAUAAAGUUUAUAAUGCGCAUAUGACCUGCGGAUACAAUGACCCGCGCACGGGUUACCCAACGCGUCCAUUUGUGUACAUUUUUAUUUCAAAAUAAAAUAAAAGUAAAAAUUUAAUUUCUGUAAAAUAAAUGAUCAUUCUCAAAAUUAAUAAUAAUAAAUUUUAAUCCUAAUGGUGUAAGAUGUAUUAUGUAUGCUCACGUUGUACACGUAGCAUUUUUUCAAACAACAAUUAAAAAUUAAAAGAAAAACAAAAUAUUUUUCUAGCAAAGAACACGUCUAGAUAUACUCCACGUGUGGUCCGCUCCCGCCACAUGUGCGGAAGAUCGAAACCCGAAGUUAACCGACCGAUUCUCUCUACACACCGGGUUUACCACGUGGCUAGUAAACCGUGAGAUCUUAUCCAUCCGUUGAGUGUCACAUUUGCAUGUAUCAUUAAUAAUAAAAUAAUUUUAUUUUUUUAAAAAAUAAAUUUUUUAUAAUUAUUAUGAAACAGAUAAAUCUAAAAAAUUAUUAAAUUUGUUGGAAAUGCCACAUUAAUAAGGUAAUUGGUGCAUUCUAGAAUUUUUUUCGGCGACUGGUUGCAAGGGGAUGACGUGGUGAACAUGGUGCAUCGAAAAUCAUUUUCCCGGUUCCCCGCUCGAGACCGUUACGCAUCCACUUCGCUGCUCCGCUUCCUCCUCUCCCAGUCUCCCUCUCCCUCUCCCUCUCCCUCUCCCCCUCUUCUUCAUAUCUCCUCGUUUCGCUUGCUCUUCGCCACUUUGUUUCCAUUGUUAUCUCCAUUAAUGGCGUCUCAACUCUCCCAAUCCAAUAAUCCCUCUCCUUCUCCCUCCGCGCCCCCCGAACCCUCCCCCAAUCCCCCUCCCACCACCACCCCCUCCUCCUCCUCCUCCUCCUCCCUUUACCCCUCCCUCGACAUGGCCGAUCUCGUCGAGAACCUCUUCCCAGACACCCACCGAAACCCUAACCCUAACCCUAACCCCGACCCUAGCCCCGUCGAGGAAACCCUCCUCCGCGUCCCCGGCGCGAUCCUCCACCUCAUCGACGAGCGCCGCAGCGUCCCCCUCGCCUCCGGCGACCUCUACGUCAUCCGCCUCCGCCAGGGCGACGGCGUCGUCGCCGUCCUCGCCGGCGUAUCCGGCGACGGGGACGGUGCAGUCCAGUGGCCGCUCGGCCGCGACGCCGCCGCCGCCGUGCGGCUCGACGGGGCGCACUACUUCUUCGCCCUCCGCGUCCCCGAGGGCGGCGACGGCGAGGACGUCCUCAGCUACGGGCUCACCUUCGCCUCGAAGGGGCAAGAGGCGCUCCUCGCGGAGCUGGAUAGGGUUUUGGGGGCGUACACCAAUUUCUCGGUCCAGAAGGUGGCGGGGGCCGGCGGGGAGGCGGCGGAGGUGCUGGACGGUGGGGCGGCGGCGGGGGAGUUGGCUCCGGCGGAGGUGGCGGAGGAGGGGCCGAAGAGGGAGAUGAUGGAGAAGAGGUCGGCGGCGUACUGGACGACGCUGGCGCCGAACGUGGAGGAGUACAGCGGCUACGCAGCAAAGGCGAUCGCGGUGGGGUCGGGGCAGGUGGUGAAGGGUAUACUCUGGUGCGGGGAUGUGACCGUGGAUCGGAUCCGGCGGGGGAACGAGCUCUUGAAGAAGAGGAUGGGGCCGAAUGACAAGGCCGCCGAGGUGAGCCCGGAGACCUUGAAGAGGAUUAAAAGGUAUCUCCCCUUUCUCCUCUUCAAUUACCUAUUACAAUUUACGAGUUUUCUCUGAUUAAUCUUAAGAUGUUAAAUGAUAUUUAUAUUGCGUCAGAGCGAAAGUUUUUAAGUUCGAAUUUUAUGAGGCCAAUUUAUCACUUAUUCAAAAGAAAACGUCAACCAAAUUAAGGCCUACUAGAAUUCUUAAAUCUAGACAUGAUGAUAGUGUUGAAUAUGAAGUGUUAGAAUCCGAUUUUCUGGUAGUUUAAGCUUUUUGAUCUGACACUAUGUGAAAGAAAAAUUUUCACCAAAAAAUAGUGACUCGUAACGAUUUGCAUUCAACAAUGUGCUCGUACUUCACUGGGAAGAGAAGGUUUUCCUGCAAAGAUUAAAAUAUGGAAAUUCUGCAUUUGAGUCUAAACUUAUUACAUCUUCUCACUCUAACAGAAGCUCAUGCCCUCUUACGUUUACCAAAACUCUAGUAUUUGUUUGGGUUAAAGAAUCACUUCCGACUAGAAUGCGGUAUGCAUUGAGAGAAACAGGAUAGCAGCACCACAAUCCCAGACAAGUCCCGACACACUAUGUCCAUAUCAGCACUGCCAUUUUCUUUUGGCCUGCUAGUCUAUUUCAAUUCCAAUUCCUUUCAUUUGCUAAUAGACUUUCCAUGUGGGACUAAGUUUUCAUGUGCUUUUGCUUAAAAUUGCUGGCUUCGGUACUUGUUAAUUAGUUUGUAAAUUGUUUGACGUGGCCAGAAAAAUUUCUCUAGAUUGUUACUUGAAUCACUUAAUGUGUGAUAUUUGGAUGCUUAGGGUGAAGAGAGUCACAAAAAUGUCUGAGAAAGUGGCAACUGGAAUCCUGUCUGGUGUUGUGAAGGUCUCUGGAUAUUUUACAAGCUCAGUUGUAAAUUCGAAAGCUGGGAAGAAGUUCUUUGGACUGUUGCCUGGAGAAAUUGUCCUUGCUUCACUCGAAGGAUUUGGUAUACGGUCAUCUUGAUGUUGUAGUUGAAGUUUUUCUUAGAUAAAACAAUGGUUCAUUUGUAUUCAUGAGAAAACUUUUUGUGGUAGCUUUGUGGUCAUGAAAUAUAAUAGCAUCGACACCCUUUAACUAUGCUUUUCUUACACUAAAGUUGCAGUCAUUGAUGAGAUUUUUAUGGCGCUUCUCUCUGCAUUUCUCACUUAUCCAUCAACUCAACGGAAGUGGUUUUUUCUUCAUGUAUUUCUGAGGCAAUUGUUCUACUGAUUUCAAAACAUUGGUAACCUUCUUAUGUUUGCUUUGAUGUGCUAGAUUUGUCAUUACAGUAGACAGCUAUCAAAGUCGCUUUCUUUUUUAUAUGAAGAGAAGGUAUAGAGGCUAAGUGACUUCUGUCAUUUAUGAAAAAGAUUGUCAUUAACCUUUUCUUUUCUCCACGAAAAACCAUAAUGGUCAAUGGAGCAUGAUACUUGUGGUCUGUUGUAGCCAAACUGGUUGAUUAAUCACUUCAAGUUGCUUAUUAUUCCAAGCCUUUCAUAUUUCAAGUAGUGACACUUGAACCAAGCUCUAGAUUUUUUAUUUGGAUCGUCGCUUCAAUUUUCACCAGAUGCAUAUAAACUGAUUUUUACUUAUUUGAGAUAUAGCAAUUGUCAUUGCUGAAGUUUAGGGCAAUGUAUCUACUUUAAGAAGGUAGAUUGCUAACAAUUAUUGACAAAAAUGAAAUGCAUAGAUAUCUAAUCAUGUUAUAUGUUAGAGACAUCUAAUCAUGUUUGCUGUCAAGAAAAAUGUGUUUUAAUGAACUUCCUUACGAGUGUACUUUUCCAUUUCUUGCUUUGGUUCUCUGAACAGAGUGUAACAUAAAUUCAAUUACUCACGACUUACCUGCCAAAUUGACUAAACUAUUCAGGCAUUUCUAUUCAUUUUUUUUUUUAAUAAUAACUAUUUUGCAUUAUAAAUUCAUCUUUGAAGCCUCGAGUUUUAUUUUAUUUUAACAUGGUUUAUUCCUGAAGUUUGGAAAUUGUAAACAUAGCACAAACGACAAAAAUAACUAAGUCUCUGCCAAAAGUAUUACUAUUGUGAGAUGGUCUAUAAAUUCUGUAUGUUUAUAUAAUUCUGUUUUCUUAUUAUUUCUUCGAAUGCAAAUUUUGAAUUGUCUUAAACUCAUGAAGCACCUUCAUCCUCUCUCAUUAUAUUAAGCUGGUUCUUCCCCCCUAAUUCCUACAGGGAAAAUUUGCGAUGCUGUUGAGGUUGCAGGAAAGAAUGUCCUAUCGACAUCUUCAGAUGUGACCACUGGACUUGUAUCUCACAGGUUCGAUACAUGCCAUAUUGGGUCUUCUAUCUUCCUACUGAAAUCUCAUUUUGUGAAAUAAGUGAUAAAAGUAUUUUGAUGAAGUAACAUGAAGUAACUUAAAUGGCAAAGAAAAAAAAAAUCUUAAAAGCCAAUUAUCAGGCGAAUUAUCUUUCUUAUUCAUGGCAAACCAUAACAUUUUUUUGGGGGAUUUUACCCUCGUUGGCGCUUUUGGCAACAAUCUGUUUUAGCUAUGCUGCAGCUAGUAUAAGAGCAUCAACCUUUAAGGGCGUGGAAACUAUGUUAGUAGAAACUAUGUUGGGUCCCCAGCUCAGUUAAAAGCUCCACAUGUUGUCCUGGGCAAACAUUAAGGCCUCUAGCUUCUGAGCAUGAAAGCUGAUCUUUAAUUUACACCGAAAAGACUAGUUAGCUAUUUAAUGAUAUUUCUCCAGGAAGCUAUUGUGCAUGCUCGCCCUGCUUAAGAUUGCUCUUGGAUUCAGAUGUUCUUUUAGAAACUAGAACUGAGUUUUCAAAUAUUUCCCAAUGCAGGUACGGUGACCAAGCAGCUGAGGCCGCAACCGAAGGGCUCGAUGCCGCGGGGCACGCAAUAGGGACCGCCUGGGCCGUCUUCAAGAUUCGGAAGGCUAUUGAUCCUAAGAGCUCCAUCAAACCUACCACACUCGCGAGAUCAGCCAUAAAAGCUGCCGCUGCAGAAAUAAAAGCUAAUAAGAACAAGUAGCUUAGAGGUAUUUACUACAUCUAAUACAAAUGAAAAUUUUGCGAUAAUUGCCCUUUCCUUUUAUCUUGGUUUCUUCACUGUUUAAUUUUUGCCUUGUCAGUUCAUGUUUCGUUAUUACUUUUCAGUAAUACUUUUCCCUGAAAUUUUGUUUUGAUGCAUCUGUAUCUCUAAAUUUCUUUUGCAUUCCAUGUUUUGGUUUGUGUUGUUAGUGUGCUAAUACAUAUCAUGAGUCAAAUCGUGGCAUAUUAGUCCAUAAAAUGAUCAGGAAAGAGAGGAAUGAUUCAACCACUUUACCUGUGGCUUUCAAAAUAUUACAUUUAAGUCAUAAGAGACCCCGAAAUCCUCAGUGGUGUGUGUGCGUUAUGAAUUUUACAUCACAAUACAUGUUACAUUCAAAAAAGAGAGGAAAGAAAAGUAAUAAAGCAGUACACUACAAUUCACAUAUUUGUGAAGAACAGUGAGUGUGUUCUAUGAAUAGUACAAACUGUUUACUACAAAUUCAAUAUUAACUGAUUCCAUAAUAAUCUUUUAUGGAUCUUUGUCAGAAUAAUGAUCUUCAUAUUUUUUCGCUCAAUCAGCCGUGUCCGGUCUCAGUAAAAUUGUUGUUUGAAAAGACAUUUAAGGGAUAUUUGGAUUGGGGUCACUUAAUUUUGAUAAGUGAUUUUCAUCGUUUGUUUUGACUGAAGUAUGAAAAAGUAGCGGAAGUGAAGUUAUGUUUCUCCUUUACUUUCUUUGCUUUUGGCUUCGCUGCAUAUGAGAGUGGAAUCAACAUUCUUCAGUCCUUACUUUUCACAGUAAAUAGUAAAAUAUUAUUUACAAGAAAUUAUUUAUCUAAAAUUUACUUAAGUGUGACAAAUACUAGAAUAUAUACUAGAAAAUCAUUUACAGUAUAGUUAAGGUUCAACAAAACAAGCAGUAGAAGUUGUAAAACCUCACUUUCAGUUUACGGAUUUUUAUCAAAACAAACAACUAAAAGAAAAUUGACUUGAGAAAACCUUUGCAACUUCACCAAAACCUUUGUAGUAGGAUUUUAUUACAGUAAUUAGAUUCUUUGAAUUAGCGACAAAGAUAGAUCGGGAAAAUAUCUUAUUUAAUCUACAUGAAAAUUACCCUGUACGUGCCGUGUGAACUGAAACUACUUAGAAACUUUGAAAAAAAAAAGAAAAUUCUGUAAUCUCUAGCUCGGAUAAGCAACUAGGUUCACUUAAGGGUAUGUUUGGUUUCUUGUAAAAUUGCCCCAAAGGGGGAACACGCGGCUCAUCUUGAGCUUAGAACGCGGUCCACGAGAUCCACUUCACUUCGUGGACCUCUCUCCUUCAUUAUAUAAUACUAAAUAUAACUAGUAGUAUAUAGUAUAUUGCAUAUUUAUCCUAUAAUAUAAUUUUGAAUAUAUUUAAUUUUACAAAUACAAAUUAUAAUAAUAUAUACAUAGUAUGAUAAUUAAUUAUUAUAUAUAAAUAAUUCUAAAAUAUAUAGUAAAAAUAAAAAAUAGUUUUUAUGUAUAUAUAUAUAGAAUUAAAUAUAUAUAUAUAUUUUCUUCAAACCAGACUAUUUGAGAAUUAAUUUUCUUUUCCUACAAACCAAAUGUUUAAAGGUAUAAAAAAAAUUUUCUUUUUUUUUUUACAAAAAAUUAUUUUUCAAAACUUUAUGUGAAAUUAAACAGCUCCUAAGGUUGUUCGUUGGUCCCACUAAACUAACAAAAUUUUGAUCUUGUUCAUACUUAGGAAAGAUUUGGGAUUUUGAUAACAUAAUCAUAUGUCACUAUGCAUGAUUUGAACCUAAGAGAAGUACUAGUACCUUUCUUUUCUGCUUUAAUUGUUGUCCUAAGUCUUUGACUAAUAAAAAAUGGAAUGAUGCAUGCUUUGCAAUUAUUUGCGUUGUUUGCUUGCUAGUUUAUGGAUAAGUACAAUUUUGUAUCCUUGGUCCCACAUACAAUGAAAAUUUUCACAUUGAUCUCAUAAUAUAGGCAAAUCUCCAUCCAUGUGGUGAGUAGUAGGGUGUUAUAUGUGAUUGUACUUAACGUUUUGUUAUUUUCUUUUCUUUUUUUGUUUUUUUAAACACCAAUGAAGCAAUGACACCUUAUAGAUAAGCUACAUGUCUCUUUCUUGUUCCCAUAUAAAGGAUAGAGCCAGGGAAUCUGGAAAUUGGUACUUUGUCCCCUUAACAAUUUCUUAAUCUUGUUGUAGAUCUAGUGAGUAGUUAUUAUUAUUAUUAUUUUUUCUUGUGAUGCACAACUUGUUAUUAUUAUUAUUAUUAUUAUUAUUAUUAUUACUUUGAACUAAUCCUUUUGGAUAUCAUACGAAGUAUCUUCUUUCUUUUUCAACUUUUCUCCUAACCUACUCGGUUCUCACUGUUCAGCAAAUAGAGAAAUAAGAAAUGGUGAAAUUAUUUUUUGAGAUUUUAGUUCAUUCUCCAAAUACAAGCUUGAGUGUAAUUUAUUAUUUUAAUUAUUAAUUUUGUUUUACCUGCCAUUCAUUCAAUAUUCGAACAUGCGCAUUUUGAUAAUGCUCUACUAAAGAAAGAUUUGCAACUAUCAUCUCGAAUUUGGAACUUUUCAGAAUUUUUUUCUUUGUCUAAUGUUAGUGCAAAAUAAGUCCCAACUCUUUUACUGCCAUGUGGCUAAUUUGCCAUACGUCCCACGUGGCAGAGUAGGCUAAAAUUAACACCUGUACUUUUUUUUACCCAUUUAUAAAUAUAAAUAAAUAAAUAUAUACUAAUUGAAAUCCAAAGGCGUUCCCUUAUUUUGGGAGCGUGUUGGGUCAUAUAUAAUUUUUUAAAAAAUUAAUUGUAUAUUGGCUUCCAAUUUUUUUACUAUUUUUUAUUUUGCUUUCUAAUUUUUUUUUAAUGGCACUACUUUGCAUGUUAAUUUUAGUCCCUAAACUUUCAUAUUUUUUACUGUAGUCCGCAAAAUUAAAAAUUUAAAAUUUUGAAUUUAAAUUCGAAAUUAAUUUUAAAAUUAAAAUCUUUAUCUAUCUAUCUAUCUAUAAUCUAUAAAUAAAAUAUAUGAAAGAGAAACCCUACAGAAGGCCCCUCCUUAGUUUGGGGAGCUUGUGGGGUUCGUAUAUAUUUUUAUUAAUGGUUAAUUGCAUCAUUGAUUCCUAAAUUUUGCACAAUUUUUUACUUUGGUUUCUAAUAUAUUUUUUUUGUCAAUUAAGUUCUCAACCCUCUUGAUUUCAUUGCGAUUACGUCCUAACCAUUAAAAGAAGUGUUAAAGUUAACAAACUUGUCAUGUCAGCACUACUUAGUUUUUUCUACAUGUCAAUUUUAAUCCCUAAUGUAAAUAGUUUUUUUUUAAAAUUAACAAAUUGGUGUCCUGAAAUAAGAGAAUUCAACUUUUGAAUUUUUUUUUCUUGAAAGAAAAAGAAAUAAUAUUUAACAUCAGUUUUUUUCUCAGUUAAAUAAUAUUUUUUAGUUCAUGUGAGUGAUAUUUUGCUAAUUCACAUGCUAUUAAUCUUAAUUUUGAGCUAGAGAAUUAAUUUUUUCCUAAUAUAUAAUAUUAGAAUUUUUAUUUUGGUAGUCGAACAUUUUUUGCAGUAUAAAAAAUAUCUAUUUCAAUUUUCAAAUGCCUUUAAUUAGUCUUAUUUUUAAGUGCGUCUGAUAAUUGCUUAUUAAUUCCUUCACUAAACUGAAAUUUAGGAAUCAAAUAUUUUAUUAGUUGUAUCUGUAGUGAUAAAAGUUAACGAGAGCUUUCUUUUAUUGUCAGCGACGAUGAUGAUACUACCAAUGCUACCAAAGAUAGUGCUUUCAUUCCAAUUAAUUUUUUUUUUAUAUUUUUUAUUUAUAAAUUUUACGCUCAUGAUAAUAGAAAAAUAUUACACUUUUUUUUUAAUAUUACAAUGAAUUUUUUUUAUUUUAAAUUGAUUUAUUUAUUUUAGUUAUUUGGUUUAGAUAUUUGUAGAAAGAAAUAUACUUUAGUUUCAUUCUUUAAUUUUUAAUUCUUCAAUAAUGCCCGCCACAUCGCGUGAGUUCUUUAACUAGUAAAAUUGUAUGUAUUGACCAGCACUUUAGAUAAUUUAAAAAUUAAAGAUAAACUUUACUUUGUUCUUUUCUGAUUUAGCUUAUUUUUUACUUUAUUUUUCUAUAACUUUAGAAAUUAUAUUUAAUUAUUUGAAAAAUCCUGCUAUCAGAUAAUGUAGUAAAGUGAAAUUCCUUUUAAACCAGAGAGUGACACCUUGUUUAAUAAUAGAUUCUUAUAGUAAAAUAAAAAUAAAAUUACAUAAUAGUUAAAUAUAACUUUUUGAGCAAUGCAGUAAAAAUGCACUAAAUUAUAGGAUAGGCAAGUGCAAUUUUUGGAAUUACAGGAUGGCAAAGUGAAAAUCCAUUAUACCAUAGGGGUGCAAAUUGAAAUUUACAACAAAAGCAUUAUUUUUUGAAAAUUUUGUUUUCAUUAAUUAAUUUUUUAUUUUGUUUGAUUUUAGUUAUUUAUUAAUUCAAAAAAACUAUNCCUGAUUGUGAUUGUUCUAUCAGAAAGAUCUUUCAUCUUUUUUUCUAUGAGUGAAUAAUUUGUCCAAUUCAUGGAUUGGAUUUGAAUGGUUGAUUUGUGAAUAAUCUUAUUAUUUAUUUCGGAAUCUUUUCCAUUUUCAGCCGUUUCAUAUACUUUCGCCUUGCUGAAUUCAAAUAAGAAUAUUGGGUUUACUUUUAGAAUUUCCUUCAUUAUUCGUUUUAGAACUAGAAGUAUUUUAAUGAUCCAUCUUGUUUUUUCUUUUGAAACUUUUAGAAGUAGAAAGAAAUUCUUUUUCACUUUUAAUUUUUAAAAGCCGGAUAGUUACUUCUACAUGACCUCAAGUUUGGAUCAGCUCUAUACAAUUAAUUUCACCUAACACAAUCCACAAACUUACAAAAAGUCCUUAUAAGAUCACUUUUGUUCUAAUCUCUCUUUUCGCACCACAAUUGGCUUCCCUAAAUUGCGGACCUUGACACUUUUGUACCAUUCUCAAGUCAACAGGACCAAGAAGUGGAUUCUUUAAAAAAAAAGAAAAAAAUGCUUCUAUCUUGUGGCCUAAAUUUUCUACUCUAUUAUUAUAGUGAUCCCAUUGAUAGUGAUUACAGCCACUCUUGUCGACAAGGAAAGUGAUAUGUUGGGACCAAAUUUGUAGCUAAUUUGUCAAACCAUCUUAUGUUGGUGUAGUUGAUGAGAUGUGUAAAAAGCACCAAAAAGAGAAGUGGAUUCAACAUCUAUUAGUGGCAUGAGAUGUUUGUUGAAGCUCUACCAUUGCAUUUGCUAGUUGGGAGUUAAAAAAACCAAAGAAAAAACAAUGAAAAAAAGGAACCUUGGGCUUGGCGCAUGUUUCGUCGUACCGUAGAGUAUAGUAUUAUAGUAAAAGAUAUUUUUAAUAGUCGAAAUAAAAGUAAAACAUUCUCAAGCUCGCUAGUUGGGAAGAACCCUUUGUUUAAGACUUAUUUGAUCGUACAGUAGAAUGUAAUGUUGUUCGAUAAAGUAUUAUUUUAAAAAAUUAUUAUUACUUGAAGCUACUCAUCACUAAUGUAUUUUUAUUAGAUUUUUUUUUUUUACAGAGCCCAGGAGUGCUCGACAUUGAAAUUUUUAGUUUUAAGGCUCAAAAUCUCUUCUCUUUUUUUUUAUGUUAUACUGUAGCAGCAGCUUUUUCUGUAUCAAAUAAUCUAAUUAAUGGAAUCUGCUGUUGCUGAAAGUUGAAGCUGUAAGUGAGGCAAAAAAGAGUCCUUAGUGUGAGGGCACAGCCCUAGUCCUUUUCAGAACUUUUUUGCCUUGUGGUUUGACUUAUGAAGGAUUGGAGAACACCAUUUAACUACCUUUAUUUGCUUGCUAUUUUUCAGGGCACAAAGUCAAACCACACAUGUGAGAAGUUUGAUUAUCUUGUAGCCUUUGCUUAGAAUCUUAUCAUUCUCCCUCUGAAAUCUCUUUCUGUAUUGAUGUCUCACUUGAAAUGUCUACUGCGUAUACGCAUAUUGUACUAAGAUAUUUAAUGUAUUAUAAUAUCGAGACAGUCUAUUCAUGUUUAAAAUCAAAAAUUAUCAGAAGACGGUGCCAUAUUGAAUUAUGUUAUCGAGAGUGCUAUUUUGAUCAUUUCUUACGAAAGUUUUAUUUUUCAGACUAAGUGUUACGUCUAAAACUCGAUUGCAUAUCGCAUCCUCAAUAUAAUAAACUAUCAUACUAAAAAGGACUAUUUAGACUAUUCAAGUUUAUAGGUUUGGCUAUUCUUUUCAAAAAAAGCGAUUGAAAGGAGAGGUAAAGUUCAAUUGAGGAACAUGGCAUGUUUCGUACCAAUCCGCUAUACUAUUAGUUGAUACUAUUAGUUAAAAAGAUUAUGGAUGCCUUAUUAAAUGAUCACAUUCAUUCACUAUUUGGUGACCGCGAUCGCGCGUAACCUAAUACUUUCCUAACACAAAAUAUAAAUGGUGCAGAUUCAUUAGACGGUGGAAGUUAUAAGUUAUGAUCAUCAAAGAGAAGCUACUCACAAUAUUUUCUUAAACUCUCUUCUCUUUCUUUUUUUUUCCCCCCUCUAAUGUGUGAUCUUUUGAGCCGUUUCUGAGUUUGUUUCUUAUUUUAUGCUUCUUCUGGUUCAAGAGCUAUUACUUUGGCAGGUAAUUUUGUUAAUGGAAUUAACAUAGAGUUUAUUUGGUCCUGCUUUUAUUUUUGAGCUCAUGUUUCUUAAAAAAAAUGAAAAAAAAGAAAAAUUUUAAAAUAGUGUUUCUAUUUUUUUCUUAAGAGAAAGAUAAUAUAUUUUUUGCUUCGUUCCUUAUAAACUAACCUGAACAUGCGAAGCAAAUAUGCUUAAAACUUGUGACCGUUGGUAUCACCUAUCAAAAUUUUAAUUUUUUCUUUACAAAUGAUCUGACAAAUAGUGUUUUGUUAAAAGAAGUCUUAUUAAAUAUCAUUUCAUUAAAUAGUAUUAUACUCUACAGUAGGACUAAGACGGGCUACACCAUCGUCCCUAAAGCAAAUGGCAAAAGGUUUGGUGGUUGAUAUCCGAAACACAAGUUCGAAUUCUAGCUGAUUCACAUUUUCAGCUAAGUUUAUUUCUCAAUAAAAUAAACGAAACGAGUAAAGACGGGUUACGAAAGAACAUGUUAAGGUCAAACUGCGUCCUUAAUACUCCACCUAAAAGGUGCAUGCCCUAAGAAGGCACACUGUAUCCACCCAUGAAUUGAGAGGAGAGAGGUGGGUCAAAGUCAAAUGUGAAGGAGACUUAAGCAGAGGAAGAUGAAGAAGAAGAAGAAGGGUAAUGAAUGUGUGGUGUGUCUUUCACCUCCCCAUGUGCCCAAGACUCUGGGAGCAGGAAUGCCCCUUAAAUUUUUAAAUUUAAAAUUUAAAAAUAUAGAUUUUAAUUUUAAAUUUUUUAAUUAUAAAAGUUAUCUAUUUAAGUUUGAAAUUUUAAAUAUAAAAUAAAAAAAUUUAAAUUCAAAUAUAAUAAUUGGGGCAAUAUUAUUAUUUUUUAUUUAUAACUAUCCACUAUUCUUCUUAUUCUAUCUUAUCUAUCCAAACGCUAUUUUUCUUACUCCCGGGAACAACUUAAUUAUCAUCCAAACGCAAAAUUGGUUUAUUCCAGGCUUCACNGCAAGUGACCAGCCAACAAGGCUCAGCGACUACACAAAAGCUCACGAAGCACCGUCGGAAAAUUUCCGAACCGAACCCGCGUUCCGUCGGCGGAUUUCGCCGAAAAACGCACCGGAAAUGCAUUUCCGAUCUUCGCAAGGGUCUAGGGCCUUGGACAAUCAGUCCAGAGGAUAUCCUCAACCAACACUCGCUGCCAACAGCAGCUACAACGAACCGAAAAGCAUAAAGGCCCUUCCGAUGACCCAAAAUCGCAUUAUUUCAUGCGAUUUCGGUGCUUUCAAGGUCCGACAACGCAAACCAGAGGUCAAACAGCCAAGACGAGACUCCUGCUGACUGUUCUCGGUGUGCCGGAGGCCGUGCUCACCUUUCGGAGCACUGCCGGCCACUGUGGAGGACACACGAGCGACGCAAACACCAGUGAAACAGCGCGCACAGCGCCUAAAUCGCGUCUAACACGCAAACCGGAGCAUAUCUGACAUAAAUAGAGGUGGCCACGAUGACCGGCACUGAGCAAGGAUCAUCGUGCUCACCUCCAGCAGAUUCGGGGUGGCCUCGGUUCACCAAAACAGUGAUCGGAACCCCAAGACAAGGUGCAGGAAGCCUACAACAAACUUACCGGAGCAAGGUGGGGCACGGGGCGGCCGGCGGCAGCCGGACGGCGGGAUAUCCGGCCAGGGGAGGGUGCUGCCAGUGUGGGGAGGUCCGGGCGCGCUUCGGUCGACCACGGGAGGCGGCCGAGGCGGCGGGCAUUGAUGCCCUAGCCUCACAACCCGAGGAGAGCCUGGGCUCGGUCCAGCCAACGGGGAGCUUCCGGCGGCGGGAUCUACGGCAGAAGACGGGUGCGGCCGGACAGGCGGAGGCGGUGCUCACUCCGGCCGGCGUCGGGAGGCGGCGGCUACUGCUCACGAGCAACCCGAGCCCCCUGCGCGCUCGGCUCGGGUUCAGCCGGACAGAACGGCCACCAAGGCGGCCGGGGACCCACGGGGACGUCGGAGACGGCAAGAAGGGGGUCACCUGAAGGUGGAGGGAAAGGAGGAAGGAGGCGAGCGACGGCGGCGGUGGCCCGCAGCCCAAGCGCGGCCACCCGAGCUCAGCUCGGCAGAGGGUCCCAGCGGCGGCGCCCAGGGAGUGCGGCGGCGACGGCGGCCAUUCAGGCCGGGCGCGGGGGUGCCAGUGGUCACGAGGGAGGUUUCCGAUGAGGUCCCUAGUGGCGGUAGGGCGCGUGGUGGAAACCAGCCUGGGCUCGGCCCGAGUUGGUCCAGCUCGGCUGCAGAGCGCCCAGGCGGCGCGCGGGGACGACGGCGGCGACGAGGGGAGUCGCCGAAGGCUGGGCCACGGCCAGGAGACAACGGUGCUCGAGCUAGGUGGCUACCAGGGUCCGCAAAUCACAAUGCGGUGAAGGGGUUGGCCAAAAGGGAGAGAAAGAGAGGUGAUGCAGGAAUUUCCGGCGGCCGGAGGAGCUCGCCGGCGGCCGGAGCAUGCGCACGGGGAGGGCAGGAGAUGGCUGAGGCGGCUGGAGGACUAGGGUUAGCAGGAACGACCUAGGGUUAGGGUUUUCAAGCAAAAAUCUAACAUCAACCUAUAAAUUUUAAGUGUAAACUUGCCGAAAAGUCCUCCAAGACUCAACCGUUUAAUCUUAGUCCCUCACCGCACGAAUAAAACAUGCAUAAACCCCUCCACGUGCGAUUUCACGCGAAACGGUACAUAAAAUGUCGCAACUUUUGCGAANGGUACUAACUUGAUACAUUUUAAACCACAGGGUACUAAAGUGAAAAAAAUUGAAACCACAAGGGGGGUUUUUGAAGUUUUCCCUAAAAUAAAAGAACCAAGAAUCAGAUCGCAAUAUAGAAGGGUGUAAGGAUGAUUGGUGCAUUUUAAUUAACCAGAAAAAAAAAUGGCCCUAAAAUGCAAAAUCAUUUGUCAUCAAAACUUAUGGGCAAAAUGUAUGGAUAGUCCCUAUACAAUCCCUAUAUUGCAAGUUGAUUCUCUAUGGUAAGAGUUUAUAUACAAAUAAUAGUCCCACGUUGGAUAAUUAAUAAGAUAGUAAAUAGUAAAAUUAUUGAGGUAUAACACUGAGCCUCAACCAAAUAAACUUAAGCAAACACUGUAAUGCAAAUGCUCUGAUAGAAAAAAAAAACUUAAUUUUUCCUACAAAAUGGCAUUUUUUAAUCCUGCUUGGAUUAACUGAAAUGAAUUAGACAUUUUAUGGGAAAAAAAAGAUCAUUUAUAAAAAAUUAUUUCUUUUGACCAAUUUGUAAUAUCGGUACAUGAACUAAUCAUACAUUUUUCACUCUAUCUAUAGAUUGUUACAAAUGUAGAAACUUAUUAUUGAUUAUUCCUUGAAAAAGAAAUUGAUUAGAAGUUACUUAAACUUAAUUCAAGACCUCUUCCUCGUGCCAUGGAAAGUUAGGAAAUUAAUUACAGGUAUUAGUGGUCGCCAUCAAAGUGUAAGCACUCCAUUUUCCUCAACCAUUUCCAAAAAUAUAAUUUAUUCCUAAGGAAAAAAAUAAUUGUCUUUGUAUUUUUCUCUCUUUUGAAAGGAAUGUAUAGAAUAUUGCCUACACAUUUUAUUGAAUAUAAUAGAAGUUAUAUGUAAAACAAGUAUAAAUUAUAAUUGGGUAAAUUGCACUAUCACCUUCUGAACUUUUGGCGAAGUUUUAUUUUAUCCCUCGAACUUCUAAAAUGGACAUUUAACACUCUAAACUCUAAUAUUUCAUUCAUAUUAUCCAUUUGGCCAGUUUUCCGUCAAACUCCGUUAACCAGAAACAAAUGGAAGGGUAAAACGAAUAAAAAAUUAUAGUUUAGAGUGUUAGAUGCCAAUUUUAGGAGUUUGGGGAGUUAAGUGAAACUCGUCAAAAGUUCAUGAGGUAGCAGUGCAAUUUAUCCUGUAGGACUCUUGACUAUAAAUUAUUUUAUUAUAAUAUAUUAUUUAUAGAUUGACUACUAACCCUCAAGUUAGUGAUCAUACUUGAUUUUAAAUUUAUAUAUUUUUUAUUUUAAAAUAAAUCAUACCAUAAUUUAUCCUAUAUUUUAUUGUAAUAAAAUAAAAGCGAAAGAAAUGAAUUAGAGUGGCUUCAAGAUAAGAAAAGAACGAUACUAACUACCAACGAUACUCAAAUACUCUAAUGUCCUAGUGUACUCACUAAUAUGGUAGAUUUAUAAUAAGUGUCCUCACUCGGAUAUAGAGAUUUUAUUUUAAUUCUCAAUUAAUUCUCUAUAGUAUUCGUUUGUCCCUUUUAUUUUUAGAAAUAUUGUUCUAAAGUAUUAUAAAAUAUUAUUUUAUAUUUUUAUAUUAAAAUUUUCUAAUUGGCUGAAAUGAAGUAUAAAAAUUUUAUUUUAGGCUACAAUAAAAUUACAUUGCAUAGUUUUAUAGGAAAUAAGUGCAUUUUCUAGAACAAUACUUCUAAAGAUAAAAGGGAUAAACGAGUACUACAGAAAAUUAGCUGAGAAUUAAAAUCUCUAUAUCCGAGUGAGGACACCUAUUGUAAAUCAAUCAUUUUUUUUUUUAUAUGAAAUAAGUGCAUUUUCUAGAACAAUACUUCUAAAAAUAAAAGAUAAACGAGUACUACAGAAAAUUAAUGAAAUUAAAUCUCUAUAUUCGAGUGAGGACCUAUUAUAAAUCAUCAUAUAUAUAUAUAUUAUAUAUAUAUAUAUUUAUAUAUUAUAUAUAUAUAUAUAUAUAUAUUAUAUUAUAUAUAUAUUUUUUUAAAAGAUAGGAUAGCACGCUACCCAUGUCGCUUUAUUUUCAUUUAUAAAUAAACUUAGCUGGAAAUGUGAAUCAACUAGGAUUCGAACUUGAGUCUCGGGUACCAACCAUCAAGCCCUUUGCCACUUGCUCUAGGGACGGUCGGUAUAAAUCAAUCAUAUUAGCGAGUACAGCAGGACAGUAGAGUAUUCGAGCAUCGUAGGUAGUUAGUAUCGCUCUUUUCUUAUCUUUAAGCCACUUUAAUUUAUUUCUUUCUCUUUUAUUUUAUUAUAAUAAAAUGUAGGAUAAAUUAUGGUAUAAUUUAUUUGAUGAUAAAAAAUAUAUAUAAAUUCAAAAUCAAGUAUGAUCACUAACUAACUUAACGGUUAGUAGUCAAUCGUAUUCGGGUAAAUUGCAUUGCUACCUUCUGAACUUUUGGCGAGUUUCAUUUAAUCCCCCAAACUCCUAAAAUAGACAUCUAAUACUCUAAACUCUAAUAUUUUAUUCAUUUUACCCCUUCUGUCAGUUUUCGGUUAACGGAGUAUGACGGAAAACUGACGGAAGGGGUAACAUGAAUGAAGUAUUAGAGUUUAGGGUGUUAGAUGCUCAUUUUAGGAGUUCGAGGGGCAAAGUGAAACUUCGCCAAAAGUUCAGGGGGUAACAAUGCAAUUUACCCAAUUAUAAUUGUUAGGGUUGAGUAGGCCCCCAACAAUGAUUGAUCUUCCAAAUUGAACCCUCUAGCUACAAAAAUUUGAACCACAUUAGUACAUCAAUGUGAGAUAAAUACUCGAGGUACUAGAUGAUUUACACAAUCCAUUGAAAAUUCUAUUGUCGCGCUCCUUCUAUAAGGUCCAACAUAGUCAAUUUUACGUCACAGUUUGAUCGAUGCGUUUUCUCUCAUUUGGAUUCAGAUGGAAAGAAAGAUACCAUUUAACUGCAGUGGAGACCAGUGGGUGCAUUUCGAAAGUUUUUCGCAUUUGGCCCAAGUGAGCUGGAAAAAAUCACAACGGGUAAAAAGAUAGCUAUUUCAGAUUCUCUAUUGCAUAACGGGCAACUCUGUAAAUUUUUCUAUUUCUAUCAUUGUCGACUAGUUUGUAAUACAAUUCCGGCAAAACCUAAGAACAUUUUCUUAAGAAAUCCAAAAAAAAUAAAGAUAAAACGGUAUUAUGUAUUUUAUCUUUUUGUUGCCAAAGAAGUCAACGAGAUGUAUAAACUACACGUGCUUCAACAUCGGAGCAUACUCCAUUUCGAAAAUGUUUUGGAUGCCGUUUUACGAUAGUUUCAUAUUCGAAUGGUAGAGCCCUAAAUUGAAUGUUGUUAUAAAACUUAAGAUGUUAGUUGUAAACUGAAUAAAAUGUAUAUGCCUUUGUGGAUUUAUCCUUUUGAAAGCACUUCAAGCAUAGAAGCACUGUAGAGAAUUAAAUUGAUAAAAAUGAUUCUUUACAUAUAAUUUUUGUUUUUGUGAUAUUUGUUUGAAUCUUACCGUUAUAAAACAAUGCUAUCUGUACGCCUGUAAUAUUAAAAUCUCAAACCCUAGCCCUUAAAAAAGAUCAAAGAUUUAUUCACUUACUUUUGUUGUUUUUUGAAUACUAAAACUUUUGGCGUUUAAAAAGUCAAAGAUUAUGAGAUGUCAUGCAUACACCGUAUAAUAAUUUUUCAAAAUAAUAACUCAUUGAGAAAUGGGAAUGAAAGAGCUGUCACCACAUGUAGGAGCUGGUACAUUUGCUUUAGUUAUUCAUAUAAAAAGUGGUCAUUUAGUAAAAAGGGAUAAUUUCAUAUAGCUCACCUGUAAACAUAUCUGAUAACAAAUCUAUUUUUACAAAGUUUAAGUUUUUAGAUUUAUUCUUUCAAAAGUUCAGUGAUGUUCAUAUUAAUCUUUUUGGUUUGUUAUCGUUAGCUUACUAUUUAUUUUUUAAUAGAAAAUAAGUGAAAUGUUAAUUUUGUCAUUAUAAAUAUGUCCCUUCAAAAUCCCCAGUUGUUAGAAUCGUAUAAAAAUAUUCUUCAAAAAAUUUUCAAUAGUCAUCUUCUUUCUCUAUAAAAAUUAAUCCAAUCCACUAUAUUGCAAUAUUUUUCCUACCUCUUCUCUCACUCCUUUUUUCUUUAUCUAUCUAAUACUAAUUCUCCAGUGCUCGACAUGAAGCGAAGCAACAUUCGUCGUAAAUGAAUGGAGACAGAGAAACCAUAAUUACGAAUUCGAAACUAGCAUGAAGAAGAGAGAGGAAAAGAAAGAGGAAGAAGAGUUUUCAUUACUAGGAGUUUUGAUUGAGAGAAAAAGUAAUGAUAUCAAAAGGAUAAAAAGGUUAAUUUUCUCACUCACUGAUUAAAGUUAAGUAUUUUAUCUAUGAUUAAUUUUUUUAACGGACACUAACAACGGGGAUAUAUUUGAAAUUACUAGAAACUUUUUGACGAAUAAAUUUAAAAAUUUAAACUUUGUAGGAAUAUAUGUCACAUUCGAUAUGUUAACAAGGAGCUAUAUGAAAUUAUCUCUUAUUAAAAUCAAGUACUUUUUUUCUCACAUUAAUUAAAAGUGAAAUAUAUUGUAUAUGAAAAAGUAAAAAAAAUCAGAACUUGGAGCCUUCCUCAACCUACCUAACUUGUGGACAAGUUCAUGUAUGUUGAUAGGUAGGUGAAUGUUGGAAAGGGACCCCCUCCUCUUUUUGGAUCUUUCCUUUUUGGAUUUUUAAAAAUAGGUGUUGCUCCUCUACAUUCCCAAGAGCCAUCUUUAUUAAUGUCCUUCACAUCUACAAGUCAAAAACAAAUUAAAAAAAAUACUGCAUUAAAAUCUCAUUUAUAAAUUUUACACUUAUUUAUCUAAAAAUUUAAAAUCUCUAUUUUAGACUUUCCGUAUUUUAAAGAAAAAUUUAUAAGACUAGCAUAGAAAUAUUAGUCUUUGGAUAGAUGUAUAUAUAGUAUUGCUCAACAAAUUAAAUGCAUCUUCAUAUAUACAUAAAGAAAACAAAAAAGAAAAAAAACAUUAUUAAUUGAGGGGGUGAAAUGCUUGGUUAACUUAGAAUAAUUAUAGCUAUCACUAUUUUUAGAGUUAUACUCCCCAAAUAGAUAGAGAUCACGUGGAUGGGGAAAAGAGAAAUACUCUCCCUACCACUCAAUCAUAUCAUCUACUAAAGAUUUUUUUAUGAUCUUGAAGAAAUAAUUCUUCAAUAGGAUUAUAGAAUAUGUUAUGACUAAAUUAUAGAAAAUCCUUAAAAUUUGAUUUUUUACUUUUUCUUUCUAUCAUUUAAAAAUCUACAUUUUGAUCCCUUAUAAAAUAAAAAAUAUUCACAAAAAUACGGUGUGAACUGUGAUGACAAAAUGACCAAUUUGCCCCUCACCAUUUUGCCUCUCACCAUGUUCACAAAAUAAAAGACUGAGGGUAUUUUUGGUAUAAAAAAAAUAUAAUAAUAUUUUAUAAAUGGAAUCCUAAUAGUUACUAACGGUAAGGGGUGAAAUAAAUAGUUUUUAUUUUACAAGUGGGCAAAAUAUAGGUUAUUAAAUGACAGAAAAAAAAAAGUAAAAAAUUGAGUUUUGACAUGAAAGUUUAAUGUAUUUUAGCCAUAUGUUAUUGUUUGGCUUAAGUUUCUAGAAUUAUUAAUACAUAAUAAUUUGAAUAUGUGGUACUAGUCAUUGAGUCCGAUGUUUUGGUCUAUAUUUUUGGGUAUUUUCCACUUGUGAUUUGCCCUCAAUUAUCGUUCAUUGAUAAAUAAAUAAAUAAAAAUAGUGAAGGCUCAACUGGCAAUACUAAUUAUUUUAUAAGUAAAGCUUUUUUCUUAUGAAUAUAUUUAGGAUUAUCAUGCAAAUGAAAAACUUUUUUAAUGACUUAGAUUUUGCCUCGACUUGAUGUUUAUUUCACUAGUGGAAAUAUUAUACUUUGUUAGUUAAUUCACGAAUUAUUCAUAAAUUAUUGAAAAUCCGAAUUAAACGGUCCGUUUAUGAAUUUUUUUUCCCAAAAAAAAAAUAUUCGCGAAUUUUUGGGCCAGCCAAAUAAUCGCGAAUUAUUCAUAAAUUAUUCCUGAAUUAUUAAAAAUCUGAAUAAAAAAUUUAUAAUUUUUAUGUUUAAAUAUAGAUUAUCUUAUAUUUUAUAUUUUAUAUUUUAUAUUUUAUACCGAAUCUAUUUUUUAAGCCAGAUUUUUCAAUAAAUUUAAAAAUUAGAAAAUAAAUUUUAUGCGUAUU
rnacentral:lncRNA from 1 species